ACUGCGAGAUGGCGUGUCACACCUCCCUGGCUCCAUCUCACAUUCGGACAUUAUUUUCUUGGUAACCUUUUGCAUGAUCUCUCGCAUCUGUUUGCUUCCCAUUUGUUCUUGCAUCUGUUGCAUCUGUUGCAUCGUUGCAUGUCUUAAACCUUGACAUCUGCAUUGCGUAUCCAUCUUCUCUAGCUGCUGGCAACAUGAGUCAAUGUACCCGCCGGCUAUAUUGUCGCUGCCUUCGCCACCCCACUCUUCCUCCAUGUACUUCUGGCAGUGCUUCAGGUGGGCUUGCUUCCUUAUCUGCUGUUCACAGCUAUCCCGGUUUUCCUCGCUUUCGACCGUCACAGAUGUGAUUGAAGCAUUGGCAAGGAACAAAAUGAGAGCCAGGGUGGCUAAGUAAACUGCGAGCUUUGCCAUUGUUGAUUUAUGCUGGUAUGGAGAAAAUAAUCAGAUGAGAAGGGUGAGAAAUGGGGUGGAGGAGUGAUGGUAAUUUAUAGGAGAGUUGAACCUUUGCAUGGGGAAUACGUGUGAUGUUGAAACUUGAAACCUAACACGUAGGUUAAUUUCUGCAUGCAAGAAUGGACACAUUUGUUUGUUUGGUUAUGAAACUGCCUUAACUGGGAUCGGUAGUAUUCAGGUUCUCUGUGUAAUUUUAAGAUCUCCUGGGGAUAAAAUGGUUUCACUUUGCAUCGGUGAUCCAAUUUGGAUUCAACCCACAAACACUUAACGCAAUUUGGAUAUUUUUCAAGCCCAUGUAUAUGUUCAAAAUUUUAAAAAUAUAUAAUAAAAAAUGUUUGCGGUGCUUGGAAAACCUCCUUAAGUUGAUCGUUACGCUCAGAGACUUCAUUAGGUCAACUUCAAAGAUGAGCUCACCAACAUCUCACUUCAACGAACAGUGCAUGGCUAUGAAAUAUACAAACCACCUUUUAUGACUUAAAAAAGAGGGUAAUUUUUAAUUUUCCGCCAAUUGUAGCAGCUUACUUUUUAGGUAUUUUAUAAUUAAUUAUUGUAUUUUUAGUAAUAGUAAUUUAGGAUUUAAUUAUCAGUAAAAUAAGCGUUUGUAUGCAUUUUUUGAUGUCUCGAUGACCCGUAAAGGUUAACUUGGGCCUCGAGAGUGAUUAAUAGCUAAUUAAGUGUGUAGGAUGCCAAUUCAGGCCAAGAGUCUUGUUGGGGAUCAACCCGAUUAAGCACCAAACAAAUAAAAAUAGCGGAAGAAAUUGAGGAAUUGAACACACAAAAUUAACGUGGAAAAAUCUCUUCAAAGAGGAUAAAAAACCACCGGCAAAGAUAAAACCUGGGCCCGAUCCGACCCACCCAUAUUAAUUUUUUUAUUAAUUUUAUAUAAUUUUUAAAUAUAUAUAAUACAUCAAAAUUACUAAAAAUAUCAAAAUAAAUAUUUUCCAAUAAAUUGAAAAUAAAUUUUAAAAAUAUGUAUUAACACUAAGAUGCAACUUAACAAGCAAAUGUCUCUAAAAUAAUAACAAAAUUAACAAAUGCCUCUAAAAUAAUAACAAAAUUAUCAAUAAAAUAAGUUUUAUACAAUAUCUAAAUAAUAACAACAAAAUAGUAGCAAUAUAAUAGUAAAGUAGUAGCAAAAUAGGGAGAAAACAAUAAAAAAAUAAUAUAUAUUAAAAAACAAAAAAAUAGCAUAUUUUUUUUGUCCUUUAGUGAAUUUGGGCCGAACUAGGCCCAAGCCAAAAAUGCCUUACCUAAGGUAAGACCCUUUUUUUUAUGGGCCUUAUUUUUUGUCCAAACUCAUUUUUCGGGCCUAUAUUUUUGCCCAAAUCCUCCCACAUUUCGAGCAAGCUGAGUGGCCCGACCAAUGAACAGGUCUAUCUUCAUCGUCAACCUUAACCUCAACAUUAUUUAAAUCAUUCAAAAGAGUAAUAAAUUGACUAAUGUGAUCUUUAAGAAGCUCACAUUCGUUCAUGCGAAACGUAAAUAGACGUUGUUUCAAUACUAAAAGGUUAGCUAGAGACUUAUUCGCAUAAAGAGUUUCUAAUCUUUUUCACAAGGCGAAUGAGGUUUUUUCAUCAAUACCUCCUGCAAUACCAUAUUCGCGAGACACAAUUGAAUUGCAGAUAGAGCAUUUUCAUCAAGCUCUUACUAUUUUGUCUUAUCUAGAUUCUCAAGCUUUUUUACCAGUAUCGACCUUUUUCAGGCCGGUAUGAACUAGAAUUGCCAUCAUUCGAACUUACCACAUACUGAAAUUUGUGACACCAUCGAACUUCUCAAUGUCAAACCUUGUUGUUUCCAUCUUUAAACGUGCUGAUCUAUAAAAAUUGAAUUAACUCUGAUACCACUUAUUGGGGAUCAACCUAAUUAAGCAACGAACAAGUAAAAAAUAGCGAAAAAAUUGAGAAAUUGAACACACAAAUUUAAUGUGAAAAAACUCCUCCAAAGAGGAUAAAACACCACGAGUAAAUAUAAUUUUACUAUAAUGACAAAAGAACGAAGAGUACAAAAGAUGGAGAUAAAAAACUAAACCCUGAAACCUGAAAACAAAAAACCCUCAAAACGUAAACACAAAAUUCUCUAAAAGUAUUAUAAAUUUUAAUAUUUAGUGGGUGUCUUAUCUAAGGUUGUAAAAGAGUCUUUUUAUACGUUAAAUUCGUAGGUCAAAUAACAAUAAAAUAAUUUAGACUAAUCAGAGUUCAAUUGAAACAAAUAAACAGAGUUUAACUGGGAGAUUAUCUCUUAAAUUUGAUUGAAAUAUGAGUUAUACUCAACAAAUCCAAGGAACAAUCGUCGAGUCGUGAUACAAGGAAGCCCGUGCUGCAACAUGGAACAACGAAGUGGCAAAGGCUGAAAAUUCAUUCGACAUCGUGAUGUGACGAGGAGUUUUCCCACAUCACAAUUGUAAUGCCCAAUUUAUGCCUGGGGCCCAAAACCAAACCUAGCCCACUAACAGCCCAUUACCCAAAUGCAAGCCCAAAUCAAAAACCCUACAGCAGCCCUGACCCAUUCACAACAAGAAAACAAAAAACCUAACCCUAGGUGCGCCGUACCUAGGGUCUUCUGUCUUCUGCCACCGUCCCAUCACCCCACUUGCCACCGCCUCUGACCAGCGCCUCACCGCCACCAACUCUGUCACCGCCAUUGUCACAUCAACCACUUGCACCUGCAAAGAUCAAAAUAGAAGUGGCAGUUUUUAAAAAAUAGAAAAAAUGUAUGUUUCGGCUAUAAGAAGCCAUUUCAACUGAAUGUAAAAGGGCAUUUUUUUGAAAAUAAUAAAAGAAAACGGUUCAAAAAAAGAGCAAAGAUUCAAAGGUUGUUUUCUUAUUUUUGUUUUUGCUUUGUUUUUUUCCUUGAUUUUUUUAUUUCGAAAUAUUAAAUAAAAAAGGAAAAAAGAUGUUUUUUUUUACCUUUUCGUUGUUGCCAGAGUGCUCGGGGGGCGGAGGGCUGCAUCGGAAGAAAAAAAAGAGAAAUUUUUUGGACUCCCUGCCGCUGUGCACGGCGGCGCCGGCGCCGGUGACCGACGGCAGUUGCCCAGAUUCUGGGCCGGUGGCUGGAUGGGGGGAGAGGAUAUUUUGAGAAGAAAGGAUUUUUUUUAAAAAUGAAAGUUGAAAUGAAAUUUUUUGGAAAAUUUGACUUAAAUAGGCCUCCAAAACGACUCCAUUUUGGGCAGGCCUCUCAGGCACCAAAACGACGCCGUUUUGGCUUGACCCGAUUUGACCCGACCCGAAGCUCCUAGGAUCCGCGUGUUUUCUGGCGCAUGGGUUAUUUGCGGGCGCGGUCCUCCUGCUUUUGUGACAGUUUACAAUUUGGUCCUCAGUUGUUUUUUUCUUUUUAAUUUUGCGGUACAAUUUUUAUUUUGUUUCACUUUGGUCAAUAUUGAAGUAGGGCAUUCCCUGGGAUGGGGAUAAUUUCCCAUCUGGUCCCCGUCUCUUUUUAGCUCGUUCAAAUUGGUCCCUUUCUUUCUUAUUUAUUUCUGAUUUGCCCCCGAAUUUUGUUUUAAAAUCCAAUUUAGCCCCCCUGUUUUAUUAUUUCAGUUAUUUUAUUAUUAAUAUUAAUAAAUUUGAUAUUAUUAUGAUUAUGAUUAUUAUUAUCAUUAGUAUUAUUAUUAUUAUUAUAUUUCUAUCUAUAUUUACUUAUUUAAACUUUAAAUAUAUUUAUCUUAUUAUAUAUUGAUAUUAUUAUUUGCUUAUUUAUAUCUUUUUUAUUUCAAACUUUGUUAUAUAUAUAUACACACACAUACAUAGAUAUUUUUAUUUUUAUUUUCAUUAUUGUUAUUAUUGUCUUAUUUUAUAUUUAUUUAUUUAUGUGUUCAUUAUUAUUUUGAAAAACGUUUUAGUCCUAUUUGUUUAUUUACUUAUUAUUUUAUGUAUAAUUUAUUUUAUCUUAUUUUUGUUGUUGUUGCUCGUAUUAUUUAUGUUUACAUCAUCGUGUUCAUUUUUGUUUUGUUACGCAUAGUAACACUGUAUUUUAUUCCAACUUUUUCAUGUUAGAUUAAUUUUAUUCAAUGCAUAAAUUAUGAUUUUUGAAUAAGUAAAAUCUCGUGUUUAGAUUCGAGAAGGUCGUACCAUAACUUACUGGGUUUCGAUUUUCACAAUAAAUCUAAAUACACGAAUCUUUUCAAACUCAAGUUUUAAACGAUCUCGAAAAUUAAGAAAAGAUCGUGUCCUAACUUAUUGGGCAUGAUCCCUUUUCUAAACCCGAGAUAAUUAAAUAUAUUUUUAAAUAAGUAAAUUUUUGGCAUUCAUUCGCGCAUCGGAAAUUCAAGACAUUGUGUCCUAACUUACUGGAUAUAAUUCUCUUUCUCGAAUAACGUGAAAUAUGCCCUUUUCCCAAAAUUUUCAACAUUUCAAUAAAAGAUCGUAUUUUAAAUCUCUUCAAAGUUUUUAAUUUUCGACACUAAGACAUUAAGUAAUCAACUAGGUACCAAUUUUGGGCGUAUCGAGGGUGCUAAUCCUUCCUCAUGCGUAAACGACUCCCGAACCCGUUUUUCUGAAUUUCGUGGACCAAAAUCGUUGUUUUAAUAAAAUCAAAUCGUUUAUUAAAGACAACCACUUUUCGAGGUGAGCCGAUCACACCUCAUCAAAAAGGAUUGGUGGCGACUCCCAUUUUCGUUUUCAUUUUUAAAAUCCAAGUCGACCCCGUUUUCACAAAAAAUGGUGUCAACAACAAUGACGCAGCGAAGACAAACCAAAAUGAAGUUGAUUCUUUGGACGACACUUUUGAGAUAUUUCCUUAUUUGGACCCCAAGCAUUUAUCAAAAUAUUGCAUUAAUUAGAAUCCAAAAAUAUAUCUAGGUUAAAUGGUCACCAAGUCACCGGUAGCAUAUAUAAGUAAGCUUAGGAUCACCUGAAUGGUGGGCAAACUUAGACAGAUAAUUUUUACUAAUCAAUUUUUUGUUUUUUUUAUUUUUAUGUUCGCUUAGUCGAAACUUCUCUAUUUCAAUGUGAAGACAUUUGCAAGCUGAGAUUUCUCCGGAAUCAUGCUUCAAUAUAUUUAUUCAUGAGCAUUCUCUUAUCUCUUCCCUUCCAUUCUUUUAUUUACCUUUUGUUAAUCUAGUCCAUUAAUGUUUAUAUGUAUGAUAGAUUAUUGUGCUUUAUUUACAUCUUGCAUGAUUCGGUUUUAUUUGUUAAGUAGUUAUUUAUUUGAAAUUGUUUGUUUAUUCAAGAGUACUUAGUAUAUUAGGGAGUAACGCCCCUGGUAGAAUAUCUAGAUAGGUGACACCGGAAGGGUAUUCUGUUGUGUAUAACUUGUGCCAAGCAGUGAGAUCGGGAGAGUGAAGAUGAGACAGGAAAGAUAUUCUUAACUAAGGGUGAUAAAUAACUUAAUCGAGAAUAAUUAACUAUUUAAUUAAACAAUUAAAAAUUUAAUCGAUAAUAGGCUAGAGGCUCGCAAGGAGAAAUCUCCUCUUCCAAUCUCUUAAAAAAUCAUUUGCAGCUCCAACUUUCAAGUAAAUUGUCGUCAACCGUAAAAUCUAUUUUUAUCCAUCUCAAUAAAAAAAUCUAAUAUUUUAAAAAAUUAAUUAAAAAAUACCAAAAUAUUUCAAAACAAUAAAAGAUUGUUAAAAAUUAAAAUAAAUUGCGUGUUACGUUAUAAUACAACCUCACCGAAAAAUGCAUAAAAUUUGGGCCAGUUUUACACAUGAUAUUUAUAUCAUACAUAGUUUAACUAAAUCACAUUUUAUCAAUCUUAAAUUUAGCAAUGUUUAUCAAUAAAUAAUUUAAACUCAUUAUUUUUGUUUUUUUAAAAAUAAUCUUAUUUAUUUUUUAUUUCAUCAAAUUUAUAAAUAUAAACAAUUAAAUAUAUAUUUUAAUAUUUAUACAUAGCAUUUUUAAUUUUCAAUUUAUCAUACAUCAUAUGGUAUAAAUUAUAUAAUAUUAUAAACUUCGGACCUUAACCUAUGUAUUAAAUGUUUUGUGUCUAAAACAAUUUUUCAAAUUUAAUAUUUUUUUCAAAUCUUUUCAAAUUCCAGUCAGCUUCCAUAAAAGUUGAGGGUUUGAAUUUACAAAUUAAUUGAGACUAAAGCCUGUAAUUUAGUUGAAGUACAGGGACGAAGCAUAAAAAUUUGAUAUUUUGUAUUUACGAGAUAUUUUGCUUAUAUGUUUUCUCUCUCAAAACUCAGCGCCAGAGAGCUCAGACUUCGAUCAUCAAUUUUAGGGUUUUUUUUCUAUUAUUUCAUAAUCAGAUUCUUGAUUAUCCAAAACUCUAAUCUUCAGAUCAGGUUUGUUUUCACCGCUUUUUUACUUUUUAUUUUAUUUAUAAUUGCAAUCGAUGAUUUGAUUGUGUAAAUUCUCUUUGAUGCUUGUUUUGGGUUUUAUGUUUAAUCGAAAAAAAAAGUGAAGAUUUUCGGCUCCUUUUUCUGAAACUAUUAUCACAACCCUUGUUGGUACUCUUUGGGUAUAAUAUAACUAAGCAAUCCCUGCCUUUCUUACCAGAAAAAAAAUUAUUGAUAUAAUUUAGCAUUCCUUUUUGGUUAAAAUUCACUGUUACCCUCUUUAGGUUAGAUCAACAUAAUGGGUGCCCCUUUUGCGAAAAAUGUCUAUUUUUGUUCGUGGCUUAUGCUUGGAGCUGCAGAAAUCUAUGUAUGAAUCUAUGGUGCUUUAUCUUUGUGUAGGUUUUUGCUUGACAAAGAAUGCUAAUUUUUUAUUUUCAUGAAAUGUUUGUUUAUGCUUUGAUAGUUUGUUUUCCUUUUAGCAGAAAGUAAUUUGAUAAAAUGUUUGAUUGAGAGAUGUGAAGAGAGAUAAAACUUUAUAAUCUAGUCAAAUGAAAUCACUGAUCAACAUUUGGCCUUGCAAUGUAGGUCUUAGUUUUCUAGUUGUUGGGCUCUUUCGACCAGCUAAGUUUCAUGUCUGAUCUUGACAUCCAGAUUCCUACUGCCUUUGGUAAGCAUUUCCCUCUCAUACCAAAUUGUCUCGGUAUCGAAAAAUCUAACUAGUACCCAUUGUCGUUCUGCUAGAUCCGUUUGCUGAUGCAAAUGCUGAAGACUCUGGUGCCGGUGCCAAGGAGUAUGUGCAUAUUCGUAUUCAGCAGCGGAAUGGUAGGAAAAGCCUGACCACGGUCCAGGGGUUGAAAAAAGAAUUCAGCUAUAACAAAAUUCUUAAGGACCUCAAGAAAGAGUUUUGUUGCAAUGGCACUGUGGUCGAAGACCCUGAAUUAGGGCAGGUGUGUGUCUAACCACCUAAGAAAGUGAUCGACUUUGGCUUCCAUCUUUGCUCUUGAUUGUUAAGUUUAUUAUACUUGGGUUUUUUGUAGGUUAUUCAGCUUCAAGGCGAUCAAAGGAAGAAUGUUUCCACCUUCCUUGUUCAGGUCAUUGCCGUUACCCUUUCAUUUAGAUAUUCUUAAAACCAGCUAGAGUUUUCCAAUUNNNNNNNNNNNNNNNNNNNNNNNNNNNNNNNNNNNNNNNNNNNNNNNNNNNNNNNNNNNNNNNNNNNNNNNNNNNNNNNNNNUUUGUGAACAGGCCGGUAUUGUGAAGAAGGAUAACAUCAAAAUCCACGGCUUUUAAAGUUGCAACGGCUAAAUUUUCUUCAAGUCUAUCCUAUUCUGAAACUCCUAUAUAUGUAAUGUUAUAAUAUGUUUAUAGUGGUGUGAUACUGAUAAAUGCACCCUGUGACUGUGUUUCUUGUUGUGCUUUCAACUCUUUAGCCCUAUGUGAUGCUGAAUGGCGAUGUUAGCUUUAAUUAUUUCUAUUUCUCACAUGGUUGUUGCUACCAUCAUCUUUAGUAAAAACUAUUUGACAGGUUAUUCCCUUUCACAUCGUAUUUUGCCAGUUUUUUAAGUGGAUUGAAUUGGUAUCGGCAUAUGAGUAAUAGGUUCUUAAAGUUGACCGUGUACCCAAUGCUUGGUUACUGGAUAAGUUUUUGGUGCAUUUUUUUUACUUGUUUUUGCUCGAAUAACAGUUAAAAGAGGAGUAUAAGUCAAUCGUAAUUAGUUUUAUAAGAUUUUGUAAUUUAAGAAUUCCAAACUUUUGAAUCGGAUAUUGCUAGAAUUUCGUUGGAAUUUGGACUCACCAUACUAGCUUUGCUUUGACUAGUGGUUGAGAUCACUCGUGAUAGUAGCGAGUCUACUUUCUAUUUUUGGUGGUUCUUGGUUUCCAUGAUGUUUUGGUGUCGUUUUUUUGGCCUUCUUUAUGGGGGCGUGCAUGCCGUUGAUGGUAAAAUUCCCCUUGGCCCCCGAAUAUCUUGGUUAGGGGUGAGCAAAACUCGAUUCGACUCGAAAAAAUCGAAAAAAAAUUCGAAUUUCGAGUUAAACGAAUCGAGUUAUUCGAAUCAACUCGAAUUUUUUUUCGAAUUUCGAGUUCGAAUCGAGUUGAGUUUUUAAAUUCGAAUAACUUGAAUAAUUCGAAUAAUUCGAAUAUUAAACUAUAAUAUUUUACAUUUUUACCCCAAACUCCUAAACCUUUUUACUUUUCCCUUAAAACUUUUACUCCUUCCCACUUUUCCCCCAAAACUUUUACUCCUUCCCACUUUUCCCCCAAAACUUUUACUCCCCUCCCCUCCCAACCCCCCAAUCUACCCAAAAUCCAUUUCCCACCAAAAUUUUACUCUCCCAUUUAUUUUUCUCAAAAUUUUACUCCCAAAAACCCUCAAAACUUUUUAUUUUCUCCCAAAAUUUUUACUCCCUUCCACUUUUCCCCUAAAACUUUUAUUCCCUUCCCAUCCCACCUCCCAUCUACCCCAAAACNNNNNNNNNNNNNNNNNNNNNNNNNNNNNNNNNNNNNNNNNNNNNNNNNNNNNNNNNNNNNNNNNNNNNNNNNNNNNNNNNNNNNNNNNNNNNNNNNNNNUAAAUUAAAUUUCACAUUUAUAUAUUUAUAUAUUUAUAUAUGAAUUGUUUAGUCAUAUUGAAUAUUAUAUUAAAAUUGAAUUAUUAAUUAUGCCAUAAAAUAUUCGUGUUAAAAUUUUAUAUUGGUAUCAAUUUCACAUUUUAUUUUUAAAAUAACUUUUAUUAAAAAAAUCAUAUUUUUACAUUUAAUAUAUUUUUUAAUUCCAAAAUACAUAGUGACAAGAAUUUGAAGAUAAUUGAAACAACUACGCAAGCAAAGAAGCUAACCAAUAUAUAAAAAAUUAAUAAAUAAAUUAUGAGGUGAUGAAAGUUAAUAAAAAAUUUAAUUAAGGUGGGUGACAGUGGUUACAAGGACCCAAAAUUAUUUUUUAAAAUUUAACUCGAAUAAAUAUAUUCGAUUCGAUUCGAAUUCCAUCUCACUCGACUCGAUUCGAGAAAACUUCAAAUAAAGUUAGGAUGAUAAAAUGAGAUUCGAAAACUCGAUUAACUCGAAAAUUUUCGAUUCGAUUCGAUCGAAUGCUCAACCCUAAUCUUGGUCACUCAUUCGCUCUCCUCCUGUUGUAUUUUCUCUGAACUUUUCAGGCCUUACCGACUGUAUUGUUCUAUUCUUUAAUGGAUUGAUAUGUUAAAAUAAAUAAAUAAAUCUAUAUGUAUAGCAUUAAAAGGAGAGUCAGGCUUUGAUAAUUCGAUAGAGAUAGAUAGUUCUCAGAUGUUAUCUUACCCUACCUAUUCUUGUUCGGUUAUGAUAAAGUAAAUGGGUAAUAUACCAUUUGCUACUUUUGGUUUGGGUACUUAAUUUGAAUAUUAAAGCCAAAUUGAGGUACUUAGAUGAGAAAGAAAAAGUCAAGUAUCGAAAUUAAAUUCAAGUAUCAAAUAAUAUAUUAACCCUAAAAUAAAUAAAAACCACAAGCCAGUUUCAAUGAAAUCAAGUAGCAUAUGGCUAGCAUAUGGGGGAGUUCCAGGGUGAGGUCCAUAAAAAGAACCAACAUAUAUAAAUCGAUGUAAAGUGAGUAAACCACUUUUUCCUGCUAUGCAAGCAUGCUGCAAUGGUGGGUCCUCCCCAUGCAUAGUUUGAUGAGUAGUACACAACAUUCCCAUCCAAGGGAAUAAAAUAAUCCUUCCUUUUUGUUAUCUUUGGAAUUACAAGAUUUGGGUGUUGAUUUAGAACGUCACAGGGACUGUACUUGCAACGUUUUUCUAAUUACAAAUGGCCUGAGAUAGACCCCAAACCUCAAACCACAAGUUUAAUUAAGUAAAUUUGCUUUGAAAAUGAAGUUUUUAAAGUGCUCUUCUAACUUUACAAACAAUUCUCAGCUGUAAUAUCAGUUAAAAACACCAUGAUUCUGCUACAGAACAGUGCAGAUGGAUGAGAAUAACCUGUUGAGAUAACUCUGAAAACAACAUGAUUGAAUCGUGGCAAGGUUUCCCAAGUACAAAAACUGAUUGGAUGCUACUUUUGGCACAAUACACAACCUUUUUUUAUUUAUUUAAACCAAUGUGUUAUGUCUGAAAAAUCAACUUUAUAUCCCUACUAGUAUAACAUUUCACCUAACAUAUACCAUCACCAAAUUCCUUAUUCCAUUCGCCAACUAACUUUCCAUUUCCCAACUAACAUGUAGGAGAAUUUUUAUUUUAUUUUUGCUAUAUGAUCGCAUUUGGAACUGUAUUUAAAUGCCUCUAAAACAUCUCCAAACUCAAAUUUCUAUUUUGACUCUCUGACUCAUAAAUAUUAAGAAAAUGGCUGAAUCUGAAUAUUCUUCGAGUGAAAAUGCAUCUAUGGACUCCGACUCCAUAGGUAAAAUUUCCUUAGCCUUGUUCUUCAAAAUCCCAUGUUUUCUUUUCCACUACUGUUGAGAUUUUCCUUUUUGCAUCAUUGCUUCUUCUUCUUCUUCUUCUUCUUUUUUGAAUGCUUUUGGUCUAUGACAGGAUAAAGCUAGUCCUUUUCUUAUCUUUUACAUUUUGCAGCUAUUAAAAGUUUUUUAUUUUUGUAAAGCUUAAGUGAAUUUUUCUAAACUCGAUUUUACAGAGGAUCAAAGUAAACAAGAUUUGGAACUUCAAUUCUCAGAAGAUGAGGAAACACUAGUAAUCAGGAUGUUUAAUUUAGUUGGAGAAAGGUACAUGUCAACAUGAGCAAACUGGGUUUAUUUUUUAACAUUUUUAUGUGAAAAAAAGGAGGUUGAAUAUGCUAUUAUAUCAGGUGGGGUUUGAUCGCUGGGAGAAUCCCUGGAAGAACAGCCGAGGAGAUUGAGAAAUAUUGGAACACAAGAUACUCAACAAGCCAGUGAAAAAACAUUCUGGGAAUUUUGCUCAAGUUUGGUGGUAGGCAGCAUGAUUAAUUAUGAUGUUAUUGUUAUAACAUAGGAAUGUUGAAUGUAGAUGUAAGUUGGCUGUGUUUCUCGUAUCCUAUCCAUCCCUUCUAUUCCAAUUUUAUUUCCCUCUAGUUUUUAUAAGAAAUUAGUGAAGGAAAAUUAUAUUUAUUUAAUUCCAGAUUCUCUAAUAUCCCAUCAUCAUCUAUUCAACAGAAAAUUGCAGCAAAUUAGUUCUUGUUGUCUAAUGCAUUUCUUUUUAAAAACGAAAGACAAUUCCAGUACUAAUGGCAGAACAAAUAAUAGCGCUUCCAAUAUGCAUCACUAAAUUUAGGGAGUCUAAAACACAUCUAGAUGUAAAAAUAGAACGUCGGUAAUGACAAACGAGAAAUAAAAAUAAAUAACACACAUAUUUUUAUGUGGAUACCCUUUCGGGAAAAAUCCACGGGCAGAGGAGAAGAAAAUUCACUAUGUCGAAUUCGAAUGAUUACAAGAGGAGUUUCGACUAUAUCUAUUUAUAGGUUGAAAAACUUAAUUCUAAUCAAAGUCAAAUAUAUUAUGUUAAUAAAUGCUAAAUAUAUUAUACUCAUAAAUACUAAAUCUUCUAGAAAGAAUAUAUAUUUUGUUUAACUUGACUUGAAAGCAAUCUCUUAGAAUUUGGGUCACACAACUCUAACAAUCUCUAUCGUGACACGAAUUCUCAACGAACAAAUUUUUCACCUCUUCCAUAAAACCCUUUAAGGGUUUAACUUCAACAAUAAACACCAACCAAGUCUAAGCAAUACUCAAACUUGACUAUAGGAAGUGGCUUAGUCAUCAUAUCUGCAGAAUUUUCAUGAAUACUAAUUUUGCUCACAACAAUAUCACAAACAAAAUGAUAUUGAACAUCAAUGUGUUUUGUUCUCUCAUUAAACAUUUGAUUUUUGGUAAGGAAGAUGACACUCUGACUGUCACAAAAUACUGUACUGAUUUGAAGGUCUUCAUUGAGUUCACUAAAGAGUCCUUUCAACCAAAUAACUUCUUUACAAGCCUCAGUAAUCGCCAUAUACUCAGCUUCAAUGGUAGACAAAGCGACUGUAGUUUGUAAAGUGGCUUUCCAACUAAUUGUACAACCUCCGAUUGUAAAGACAUAACCUGUGAGAGAUCUUCUUCUAUCAAGGUCUCCAGCAAAAUCAGCAUCAACAUACCCAAUGACUCUAUUUCUAAUUCUUCCAAACUGUAAGCAAACAUCAGUAGUACCUCGUAAGUAUAUUAAAAUCCACUGAUCUAUUUUCCAAUGUUCUUUACCGAGAUUCGCCAUGUAUCUGCUAACUGCAUUGACUGCAUAUGAUAAAUUUGGACGUGAACAAACCAUAACAUAUAUGAGAGAUCCCACUGCACUAGAGUAUGGAACAUGUGACAUGUACUCAAUCUCAUCAUCUGAUUGUGGAGAUAAAGCCGAUGAAAGUCUGAAAUGGGCUGCUAAAGGAGUAUUAACAGGCUUAGCACUCUACAUAUUAAACCUGCAAAGAACUUUCUCAAUGUACCCCUUCUGACUUAGGUGCAAUUUACUUACUUUCUAUCUCUGAGAAUCUCCAUACCAAGUAUCUUCUUUGUUGGUCCCAAAUCUUUCAUCUAAAAUUCUUCACUUAGUUGGGCCUUGACCUUUCUUAUCUCUCCUUUAUCUUUUGCUGCUAUCAACAUGUCAUCAACAUAAAGGAGUAAAUACACAAAAGAACCAUCACUGUUUUUCUUAAAGUAAACACAACUGUCAGAACUACUUCUUUUGAAAUCAUGAGAAGUCAUAAAGGAAUCAAACCUCUUAUACCACUGUCUUGGUGACUAUUUCAAACCGUAAAGGGACUUUUUCAGCAAGCAAACACAGUCCUCUUUUUCUAAGACUAUAAAACCCUUUAGUUGUUGCAUGUAAAUAUCAUCCUCAAGUUCUCCAUGCAAAAAUGCAGUUUUUACAUCUAACUGCUCAAGCUCCAAAUCAUGCAUGGUCACAAUACCAAGCAAAGCUCAAAUCGAACUAUGCUUAACAACUGGGGAGAACACAUCUGUGAAGUCCACUCCUGAAAUUUGACUGUAACCCUUUGCAACAAGCCUUACUUUAUAUUUGGUUUCUUCAAUUUCUGGAGUCCCUUCUUUCUUUUUAAACACUCAUUUACAACAAACAACCUUUUUACCUUUAGAAAGUUUCACAAGAUCCCAUAUUCUGUUUUUGUGGAGUGAUUUCAUCUUCUCUUGCAUAGCAAACAUCCAUUUUUCUGAGUUUUCACAACUAAUUGCCUCAGAUUAAUUAGAUGACUCUUAGUUUGCAUCUGUAUCUUCAACCAUAGUUAAAGCAUAAGCAACUAGAUCAACCUCGGCAUACUUCUUUGGAGGUUUAAUUUCCCUUCUAGUUCUGUUUUUGGCAAUAGAGUAUUGUGGUAAAGAAGCAACUCUAUUUUGAAUUUUUGUACUGACUUGAGGAGUCGACUCUGUUGUAGAUUUUGGAUUAAUCUGAUGCUCCACUUGUUUUUGAUUUUCUUUAUUGAAAGAGUCUUUAAGAGAUAAGUUAGGUAGCAUAGCAGUUUCAUCAAAAACAACAUCUCUGCUAAUCAUAACUUUUCUAUUUUCAGGACACAAUAACUUAUACCCUUUUACUCCAACUUUAUAACCAAGAAAAACACAUUUAAUGGAUCUCGGUUCCAAUUUUCCAUUAUCAACAUGAGUAUAUACAGGACACCCAAAGAUCUUUAAAUCAGAAUAGUCAGUAGGAUUACCAGACCAUACCUCUUGUGGAGUCUUUUUUCUCAAAUGGCAACGGAUGGAGAUCGGUUGACCAAAAAAAUACAGUAGAGGCUGCUUUGGCCCAAAACGACUUUGGUAAGUUGGCAUUUGACAACAUACAUCGAACCUUCUCCAUGAUCGUUCUGUUCAUUAGUUCUACAAUGCCGUUUUGCUGUGGAGUAUGACGAAUUGUCAAGUGUCUCACAAUCCUUUCUGACUUGCACAGUUUAUUAAACUCAUCAGAACGGAACUCUAAGCCAUUAUUUGUGCGGAGGUAUUUUAUUUGUUUUCCCGUCUAUUUUUCAAUCAUAGUUUUCCAAGACUUAAAUGUGAAAAACACAUUGCUUUUUUGCUUCAGGAAAAACGCCUAAACUUUUCUAGAAAAAUCAUCAAUAAAAGUUAGCAUAUAAUUAGCUCCACCUCUCGAAGGCACUUUAGAUGGCUCCCAAAAAUAAGAAUAAAUAUACUCCAACAUUCCCUUCGUGUUAUGGAUUCCUCUAGUGAAUCAAACUCUCUUUUUCUUCCCAAAAACGUAGCGCUCACAGAACUUUAGUUUGCAAAUUCCUUGCCCAUCAAGAAGUCCUCUUUUGUUCAAUUUUGCCAUGCCAUUCUCACUCAAAUUCCCAAGGCGCAUAUGCCAAAGUUUAGUAAUAUCAUCAUCUGACAAGGAAGAGGAAGCGAUAGUUGCAUCACCAGUAACAGUAGAACCCUGCAAAACAAAUAACUUGGCAGUCUUUCUCUGCCCUUUCAUCACAACGAAUGAACCUUUGGAAAUCUUCAAAACCCCACUUUCAGUUGUGUAUCUGUACCUUUUUGAAUCAAGAGUACUCAACAAAAUUAAAUUUCUCUUCAAUUCUGGAACAUGUCGCACGUCACUAAGUGUUCUAAAAACUCCGUCAAACAUCUUAACUUUAAUCGUUCCAACACCUGCAAAUUUACACGAGGCAUUAUUUCCCAUCAAAACAACACCUUCAGACACUGUUUCGUAAGUUGUAAACCAAUCCUAAUUGGGACUCAUGUGGAAGGUGCAACCCGAAUCAAUGAUCCACUCCUCGCCCACUUUAAAAUUGUUGACAGAAGCGACUAGAAGUUCACCAUCGUUGUAGUCUUCUACAACAUCAGCUUCACCGGAAUUUUCUGGUUAUUUUCCCUUUUGAUUUGCAGUCUCCCUUUUAAUCUUGUUCUGUAGCUUACAACACUCAGAUUUAAUGUGUCCUUUCUUCUUGCAGAAGUUACAAGUUUUACCUCUAUUUGAAUACUUCGAUUUACCCUUAGAUUUACCGCGAAGAUUUCAUUCCUGUGUCCUUCCACGAUCAUCAUCAGCAUUCCAAUCUUGUCUCCCACGAGCAAUGAGACCCUUUUCCCUUAGAGUCGGGUUUAACCACAAGAUGCUUCAUCUUAUCAUACGAGGUCAAAGAAUCAUAAACCUUAUCAAUUUUGAGAAACUCACGGUUAUAUUUAAUCGUGUCUCUAAAGGUUGAAUAAGACGGGGGAAAGGAACAAAGUAGAAUCAACCCUAGAUCUUCCUUAUCAUACUAAACCUCCAUGACUUCCAAGUUUAAGAGAAUUUCUUUAAAUACGGUUAAGUGUUUGUGUACAGACGCACCUUCCUCUAAACGACGAGCAUAAAGACGCUACUUCAUAUGCAACUUGCUGGUUAGAGUUUUCGACAUAUAUAUUUGUUCCAGCCUCUUCCAUAAUGCAGCGACUGUUUUCUCCUUCAUCACAUCCUGCAAAAUUUCGUUAGACAAAUGCAGAUGUAACUGUGUUAACACCUUUCGAUCCUUACGCUUCUUCUCUUCAUGCGUUAAUGUCGUUGGCAUCUUAUUUGUAAUGACUCAAAAUUCACGGGCAUCGAAAAAAUACAUUAUCGGGCCUCCGUCUUAGCAAACCGAGUCCGUAAAUAAAUAUUAAGAGUAAUUGUGAGUUUGGUAGUAUGUUUAAAUAGGCUUUAAUUAAGUGAAAUUAGCUCAAAUUAGAGAAAAUAGUAAAAAAAAUGACUAAAUUGAAUUAGGGGUAAAAGUUUAAUUAUAGAUUAAAAUAAAAUAAAGGGGAUUAAAUAGGAAAUUAUGCUUAUUUCAUCAGGUGAGGCGGCAAAUGGGGAGAGUUUAUUAUUAUUAUAUAAAUAUUAUUAUGGUUUUAUAUUAAAAUAGUGACAAAUGUAUGGUGGUGAUAAUAAACAUGUGUAAAAUGCAUAAAAAUACACUUGUAGUAUAUUUGUAUAUUUUCUUAAAUAAUAAGCAAAAGAUAUUUAUUAGUUAUAAUUAUAAUCUAAAAUAAAUAAAGACAAGUGUAAGGUGAUUGUAAAAUACAAGUGUUAAUUAAAAUAUGUACAUUUGUAUUAAAUUUACUUAUCAUUUAAGUACUAGAUAUUUGUUAUAAUUAUAUAUUAUAUUAUUGUUAAAUUAAUAAACAAAUAUGAUACAAAGAAAGUAAAAAGGAGUAAAAGGGCAAUUAAAUCAAACGGUUAAUCCUUAAAAAUCCGAGAUUUUUAAGUUUUAAUAAAUAUAUUAUAUUAUUGAAUAAUAUUUAUAUAUUAUAUUAUUAUAUUAUAUAUAAAGUAAAGUAAAGAAAGAAAAUAGAGGAAAAAUAGAAACAGAAUAGGGGACGAAACAGAAAGCAAAGAAAAAGAGAAAAGAAAAGAAGUUUAGGGUUUUCAAGGUUUAAUUCUAAAUUGGUAAGUUAAAUUAAGUUCUUUUCUUGUAAUUUUUGAGUUUUUAUGAACCUAGAACAAAAUAUUAUCAAGUAUAUGCUGAAAAUUUUGGAAGUUAUUAGAUUUUUAAACAUUAAUUUUGUUAGGUAAAAGUGUGAAUUAGAAAUUGAAUUAAUAAAAUUUCUAAUUGGAAUCGGGAGAUGUAUUAAAUUGUAAAAUAAGUUAUAAAUUUUAUAUAAUAAGGACCAAAAUUGUAAGAAUUUCAAAACUAGGAAUUAAUGAUAAAAAUUAGAUAGUUAAGUUUAAGUUUAGUUGAAAUUGAGUAGAAAUGAGGUAUGAAUUGAAAUAGAAAAAUAAAUGAAUCUAUUUAGGGAUUAAAUUGAAAUUGGGAUGAAAGUAAAAUAGAAAUUCAAGUAUUAGAUGAAAAAUUUAUAUUGUAUUAAUGAUUAUAGAAAUUAUCUUAAUUUUUCAUAGCUAAUAUCGCACCCGAGGCAUCCAUGAAGAAAGGAAAAGAAAAAGUGAAAGAGGAGUAGACACGAGAAGCACGGUUUGUAUUACUAUAAUUCAAAUUACUUUUUAUUAAAUGAUAUAUUUUAAUUUAUAUGUAUGAUAAGUGAAAUAUAAUGUAAGUAUUAUUAUUAAGUUGAAAGAAAUUCAAUUGAAUGAAGAAUAUAUGUGUGGAAUUGAAAUGAAUAUUGACUUGAAAAUGGAAAAAGUGAAUUUUGAAUUGAAUGUGAUUGAAAGUGAAAAAGUGAAACUGAAUUGAAAUGUGAAAUUGGAGACCCUAUUAACUAAUCGGGCUGAGUCGAAUAUAGUUGGCAUGCCAUAGGAUUGGAAGAGUUCAGGGAUACUUCGACCUCGAGUCGAUGAGACACUGGGUGUCACUAUAUUUCUUCGGAUAGAUUCGAUGAGGUACUGGGUACCAACUUUCUUCGGCUUUGCCGAUGAGACACUGGGUGUCAACUAUUGCUUCGAACUAUCCGAUAAGGCACUGGGUGCCAUAUUGGAGUGUUUGGUUGGAUCCGUGUAUCCGCCAAAGUCCAAGUUUUGUUAAUAGGGUAAAUAAUGAAAUGAUAAACUGAAUGAGUUGAUCAAUCGAGCUAUUGAAAUGAAAUGAAAAGUUGAAUUGUGAAUUGAAAUGUGAUAUGAGAUUGAGAAAUGAAUCUAAGGUUCAUGAUGUGUCCAAGUUCCAAAUUGUGGAUAUAUGAUAUUAAUUGAUGAAUUGUUAUUGUUGAAAUAUGAAAUUUGAGUUUAAAUUUGUAUGUAUGAUUUUAUGCAUUACAUGUUUAUUAAUAUUAUAAUUUGAAUUAUGGUAAUACCACUGAGUAUGAAAUACUCAGCGUACAGUUGUUUCCGUGCGCAGGUCAUUAGAGUUCAAGGUCCAAUUCAGCAUCCAGAAAUAUCCUAACUCUAUCAAGAAAAUUUUGGUGAUGUAUUUCUUCCUUUUGUUUAUGUGGCAUGUGCUAGGUGAUUGUACACAAGUCGUAUAUAUAUAUAUAUAUAUAUAUAUGUAAAUAUAUAUGCUAAAUGAUCUUGGUUGUAAGUAAAUGGUUAUAAUCUUUUGGAUGAUAAAUAAAGUUUAAAGUUAUAAAUUAUUAAACUUAGUAUUAAAUCUUGAAAUGAAAUGAAAGAUAUGAAUUAGUUUUUUUUACAUGUUAACUUUAACCUUUUAUAAUUAAAGUAGUAAAUCAAUUUAUUAAGCAUGAUUUAGUAGUGUUUUAAAGUAUAAAAUCAUUAACUGAAAUAUUGGUAUUGGUUUGUUUUUGGUUUUAAGUUUGUAGGGGGUUUUAUGUAAAAAUAAGUAAAAAUACUGUCGAAUUUUUUUUAAAUGAAGCCAAUUAGCAUAAAUUUAUAUGAAUUUAUGAUUCUUUUAUAUAUGUUCGUUAUUUAUCUAAGAAUUAUUUAUAAAUUGUCCGAGAUGUCCAAUAAUGCCUCAUAACCCUGUUCCGGCGACGAUUUAGGGCUAACGGGUGCUACAUUAUCUAUCCCUAGCAAUGCAUCCUCCAAAUCCAUCUCUAACUAAAAUUGUAUAUUCCAACUAAAUUAAUAAAUAAUGAUAUCAUAAAAUAUUUGUUUCAUGGUUACUAACUUAGGGCCAGUUCUUUAUUGCUUUUGAGAAAUGCUUUUGAGAAGUGCUUUUCAGAAGUACUUUUGAGAAUUACUUUUGAGAAAUUUGAGUGUUUGGUAUUGCUGUCAAAAAGUGCUUUUGAAAAAUAAAAUGUCCAUUUUAGACAUAAGAUUAUAAAGUAACAAAUAUGUAUUUAAAUAAUGUUCAAAUUAGUUAAUAUUAUGAUAUUUUAGCAAAAAUAUAAAAAAUAAUUUAUUAUAACUUAUUGUUAAUACUUUAAUAUAUAAUAUUAAUUUUAAAUAUUUCUAAGUAAUUAAUAUUAAUUAUUUAUAAAAUUUAAUUUGAAUAAAUAAACUAUAUUUAAAUAUUUAAAUAUAAAAAUUAAAUAUUUGUAAUUAGAUAUUGACACAAUUGUAUUAUUAUAAAAAUUAUUUUUUAUUUUUAAUUAAUGCUUUUAACACAUUUGUAUUAUUUUAUUUUAAAAUGUAUUUGAAUAUAUAACUCAUAUUAUAUACUAACAUAACAUAGAAAACAUAAACCUAAUGAAUUAAAAUAUUACAUAUAUUUGGAUUAAAGUUUUAAAAAGGGAUAAUAUUUAUAUACCAAAUAUAAAUACUAAAAAUUUGUCAAUAGCAUUUACAAUUUAAAGUGAAUCCAUUAAACUAGAUGCUAUAUUUGAUAAGCAUCUGAAAAUGAUUUGGUUAUAUUCAAUAAAUGAUUUGGUUAAUACAAUACUUAUAUUUGAUAAGCAUAUGAAAAUGAAAGUUGAGACUGUCUGAUGAAGAAGGCAAAAAAGAAUAUUUCAUGGAAAGAAGAUUGUUAGGAUGAAUUCUUCAAUUCCAAUCAUUUAAAUAACGGGUCUCAGGAACCAAGCAAUAUGCCAAAUUAGUAGACAGUCCACAUCAUUAACAUUGCAUAAUGUUUUAAGAUGAACAAGAAAGGAACUAAAGUGUCUACCGAGGAGUAACAUACUGCUAUUUUUGUAAAUAAAGUACAGAAAGUGUAUAAAUAGAUGGUUGAAUAAUACACAUCCAGAAAAGAUCAUUGCCAAUAAGCCACUAACAAAGUAGCCUCAUAAACAAAGAAAUAGUUCUUAGGUUCUGCCUAAAUUUCAUGAUAAUGACAUAAAACUACAUCAAAGAUCAGAGUCGAACUUUGUUCAUAAGAACAUAAAAUAAAUCAUUGGCAAGAAACAAUUUUGCAGCAUGACAUAUGUGUUGAGCAUCCAGAGGAAAUAAGAAAUUGUCAGCCAGUGGCUCUCAUCUUACUCGCCAACAUAGUAGUGUCGCCUUACCAUGGCAUCCUUAACCCCCAUAUGACAUAUAUACAAACAGCCACCCCUAGAAAGGCAAUUCCACUUCAUAUGUAGCGAAAUAAAAAUACCCUGCUUCAUACUUUUUUCCUCAUUUAGCAAGAAAGUUUCUUUACGGAUUAUGACCAAACAUAACUCCAAAGGAAUAGACAGUUUACAAGAUCAUGCUUCAGCACAAGAUAAGAAGAAAGAAAAAAGAAACACAAAAUAAAAACAAGAAAACACACGUACAAACAUGCACAUACCAACAUAACGUAAAGAGUCACUCCACAAGACCAUACAUCUGCCAUCUGAAAAGAAAUCCAAUCCUAAAUACAGUCAGAAACUGCAAGUGUGAAAACCUCUCUGCUUUGGAAAGACUUGAUAAAACUCUGGCUACAGUUUAUCUUUACUGUGAUAAAAUAUUCCACAUGGUACUGCUUUCAUGGUCACUAUAAUGAAAACAUCACCAUAAAGCAAAACUAGCUGUAACAAUGUACUGUUGCGGAUUUCCAACUAUUGUUAAAGAUGAUUGAUCAUUUACAAAGCAUAUAAUCACUCAUAACAUGUGCCAAGAAACACCAGCUGAUCUUUAGAACAGCAUGUAAAGCCAUCAAUUACUUUAGCACACAAGAUCAUUUAUCAUACAUUUUCAGGAUUAAUGUAAAAGUAUCGUGUCUACUAGUUUGAGGAAUUGAGAUGCGCACUGAGGGGAUCAGUUGAUAAGUGGAAGAUAGUGAUCGGGCAUCAUCCCAUUAGAAGCCUCAGGCACCAUGGUCAAACCAUGGAGCUCAUCACCCUCAUUCUACCUAUACUUGAGGUGAACUACCGGGUUUUUUACCUAAUUAGGAUAGAAAAAAAAAUUUACUGAAAUAGUAUGUCAGAAAAAAAAAUUACCAAAAUGGGUUACUUUUUCAUUGGAGCCUAUUUGGUAGGCGCCAAUGAAUAAAAUAAUAAUAAUAAUAAUAAUUUAAUAAAAUAUAAUUUUAUAUUUUUUUAAUAUUUUUUGAAAAAAAUACGGGUCAAAAAUACGGGUCGGGUCUGGUGGCGCCUCUCAAGUAGGCGCCAAUGAAGGAGCCUGAUGGAGAGGCGCCAAUGGGUGUCAGCCCCCCUGCAUGCUGCUGCUGCUGCUAGUGAAUUGUCCCUUCAUAAGCUUUUAUUUUUGCUAUAAGUAAUAGCAAAUGGUCCCAAAAUCAGUCCACACGGUAGAGAAAAAAAAAGGGAGAAAGGAGAAGAAGAAAGAAAGAAAAAAAAAGGUNNNNNNNNNNNNNNNNNNNNNNNNNNNNNNNNNNNNNNNNNNNNNNNNNNNNNNNNNNNNNNNNNNNNNNNNNNNNNNNNNNNNNNNNNNNNNNNNNNNNNNNNNNNNNNNNNNNNNNNNNNNNNNNNNNNNNNNNNNNNNNNNNNNNNNNNNNNNNNNNNNNNNNNNNNNNNNNNNNNNNNNNNNNNNNNNNNNNNNNNNNNNNNNNNNNNNNNNNNNNNNNNNNNNNNNNNNNNNNNNNNNNNNNNNNNNNNNNNNNNNNNNNNNNNNNNNNNNNNNNNNNNNNNNNNNNNNNNNNNNNNNNNNNNNNNNNNNNNNNNNNNNNNNNNNNNNNNNNNNNNNNNNNNNNNNNNNNNNNNNNNNNNNNNNNNNNNNNNNNNNNNNNNNNNNNNNNNNNNNNNNNNNNNNNNNNNNNNNNNNNNNNNNNNNNNNNNNNNNNNNNNNNNNNNNNNNNNUUGAGCAACCGCAAGAAGUAAGAUCUGUGUGUAUUUUCCAUAUAGCCAGGUUCCAUCUACUUGCACAAAUGGUUUGCAGUGGGGAAAUGCGCGCACACAUUGAUCAAAAGUCCAGAACAUCCGAUGGAAAAUUCUUUUUCUCGAUUGUAGUUGGUCAUUUGGACCGUCAUAAGAUCGUGUCUGCAACUCAAUUACAGUCCCCGCCACGUGUUCCCUCAUGGCGGCUAUCCAUCCCUGUAAUUUAUUGUACGAUGCAUCGAAAUCUCCGUACAAUUGCUCCAUUGCCAUCUGUUUAGCUAUCCAUGCCUUCCGGUAUGGUACUCGAUACUGGAAUCGUGCUUGUAUUUCAGCAAUCAGUACCGAAACUUUAAUGGUCGGCAUGUCUUUCACCAUUGCCGUGAUGCAUGUACAGAUAGUUUUGGAGUCAAGUUUUCGAUGAUCUUCUGUCAUACGUGUUGAAGUGCAUGUGUGGGGCUCCACAAAUUUUCGUAUUUCCCACAUCUGCGACUUCUGCAUAAAUGCAGCUCGUACCCGCCAAUUGCAGCCUUCUGCCGACCUCCAACACUCUCCAAUAUAUAAUGUUGGUUUAGACUCGAUGACUUUGUAAUCUACUGAUAUAUUCAUGCUAUACCGCUUAAUUGCAAACAUACAUUCUUCCUUACUUUCAAAACUCUGGCCCACGCGCAACUCAUCUGGAUCAGAAUAUACGCCCAUUCGGUAACCAUGUGGUAUUUCAGGGUACUCCGGAAACUCAGCUGCCCAUGCCGCAUCGGGGUCUAUCCGAGACAUGUGUGCCCCAGGAUUAUUGUGUAUCACAAUACGAUGAAUCUGGUUUCCGACUGAAGACGCAUUAACAUUUCCAUCCUCAUUCACCCCUUCGUCGUCAAUAUCAUCCGGGACCUCGUCUGCGUCGGGAUCACUCUCACUAUCCACUUCGUAAUCAACAGGAUCACUACUAUAGUAUACAUCACCACCAACCACAUCAGUCUCGGCUGCAGCAUUAAGAUCAAUAUUUAUCCCAUGUAUAGGUGAUUGACUAUCAACAUACGAUACCGGAACCACCAUACACGGCGCUUCAACUCCAUCUUCUUCACCUAAUGGAGUGGGAUCUUCAGUUGCCUCCACACUGGAUAACUCAGCAAAUAACUGAAUCGGUGCAUUUUUGUUACUCGAAGUCCCACAAUAAAGAGCGACCAUUGUUUCCACGUCUUCAUCGUCUACAAGUUCCAUUUCGGUAAAUUUUAUUGGAUCUGUUGAUACUGGAAACUUGUAGAAAACUUUUGAUAUCCUUCUCCCACAAUGUCUAUAAAUUUUUUCACUAAUUUUUUCCUUCAUAUCAUCAAACAAGAUAUUUCUAUCAAAUCUCAUUGCUACUUGUUUGCGACAUUCAAAUAUACAUCCCACAGUUGUUGUUAAAAUUUCUCCAUCGAAAUAAACGCAUACAAAAAACUGAUUCUCCAUCUUCAAUACUAGAUCUGUAAAAAAAGAAUUUCAAAUUUCUUAAAACAGUUUCAAAAUGUAAACAAAAUACAUAAAAAUUUUAAUGCAAAAUUUUUCAUUCAGAAACUAACAAAAUUAAUAACAUGGCAAAAUAACUUUCGAAUAAUAAAAUUACUAACAAAACUCUACAUUCUAUUUAAAAAAAAAAACCAAAAUACCUAAUUUUUUUCUUCUUUUCCUUCCUUCUUUUCUUCUGCUUCCUUCCUUCUUCUUUCUUCCGUUUUUGUAGUCAAAUUUAUGUCUGUGUUGGGGGUAUUUAUAGAGAAAAAUCACAGCAUUGGCGCCUUCUAAUAUGGCACCACCAUUGGCGCCUCCUAGAUAGGCACCACCAUUGGUGCCUCCAAAUAGGCACCACCAUUGGCGCCUCCCAAAUAAGCGCCAAUACUAUGCAUUAUACGGGUUAUAUAAUAACCCGGAAAAGUAUAAUUUAUAUUUUAAUCAAAAAAAAUAUUAUUAUUUUAUUCAUUGACGCCUACCAAAUAGGCUCCAAUGAAAAAGUAACCCAUUUUGGUAAUUUUUUUUUUCUGACAUACUAUUUCAGUAAUUUUUUUUUUCUAUCCUAAUUAGGUAAAAAACCCUGAACUACCUCUACCUAAUUAAGGUAUAAUUUGCUGUCAAAGCUAGGUUCUAGAUCACUCCGCUCUAUAUAUUAUCCACACAAAAUAUGACCAGUUAUUUCCUGCACUUGUGAUUGUUCCAAUGCCCAAGGAAAAUAAAACAGAGGUUAUGCAAAAGUUAACUUCCCUUUUUUUUCACGUAGAGCAGGUUUUCCCUCAAUGUAGAGGCCUUAUAAGUUGCCUAGGUACUUCCCAGAUCGCGAGUACUGAUAGAUAUUGGGUCUAUCCAUCAGCCUUCUCUAAUAGGGCACUCAACCAUCCCAUGGUCAAGUGCGUAAGAAAAAAACUAAAGCAAAAACUAAAGCUGAUAUACCUGAAUGCUUUUCAUAUAAAUUAAAAAAAAAACAAGAUGAAACAAAAAACAGAUCACAUCGAAUCUGUUGACACCAUUUUUUUAUGGAAACGGGGUCGACUUGGAUUUUGAAAAAGAAAACGAAAAUGGGAAUCGCCACCAAUCCUUUUUUUGAUGAGGUGUGAUCGGGUCACCUCAAAAAGUGGUUGUUUUUAAUAAACGAUUUAAUUUUUAUUAAAACAACGAUUUUGGUCUACGAAAUUCAGAAAAAAUGGGUUCGGGAGUCGGCUACGCACGAGAAAGGGUUAGCACCCUCGAUACGCCCAGAAUUGGUACCUAGUUGAUUACUUAAUGUCUUGGUGUCGAAAAUUAAAAACUCGAAAAGAAUUUAAAAAUACGAUCCUUCUUUAUAUUGCGUUAUUUUUUAAAAAAAAAAUACUUGGAUAAAUCAAAAUAGAAAAAUGCUUUCUUAUCUCGAAGUAACAAGAUGUCACAUUCAGUAAGUUAGGACACGACACCUAGUAUUUUCGAGAGUAAGCUUGCAUAUAUUUUUUGUUUAAACCUCAUUUAUUUCAAUUUUAAAAGGAUAUUCGAUUACUUAGAGUCAACGAAGAAAAUCAAAACCCAGUAAGUUAGGGCACGAUUUAUCGAAUUUUCUAAAUAUAGAAUAUUGUCUUUAUUUUUUUUGAAAUUUUAUGUGUUUGAAAUUUAAAAGGAUAUUUUGUUAUUUGGGUUUAAUGAGAAAAUCGACACCCAGUAAGUUAGGGUACAAUUUCUCAAAUUUCCAAAAUGCAAAAUAUUGCCUUAUUUAGCAAAAUUCAUUUUGAAUAAUAGCGGGUAAUCUAUUUGAAGGUAUGCAUUUAUCUCACUUAGAAUAAAAUAAAGCAAUCUAAAUUGGAUAACUAUGUCGGAGUUUAAUUUACAAUAUAAGGACGUGAACUAAUCAAUACAAUAAUAAACAUAGAGUAAUGAUACAUGAAUAAAAUUACACAAAUGUAUAACAAAAAUAUGAAAACGCGAAAAAAUUAAUUACGGCAUCCACAAUGACAACAUCCACUCAACAUACAUUAUUUGAAUACUAGUAUUAAUAAUCAAAGAUGAAUAAGUUAAGUAGCAUACAUGGCAAUUUCAAAAUGAGUAGCAUAAAACAAAUUAAAGCAAAUGAAAUGUAGGAUUGUUUUGAAAAAUAAUAAAUGGGCUUUGAAUGAAUAAUAUGAAAAAGAGAAAAUUGAAAAAAAAUCAAUUAUAUACAAAACAAUUUUAAAAAUACUAUGUAUAAAAAUUUUUAAAAUAAAUAAUAUGUAUGUUCAUAUAAAAAACAUAAAAUGAGAAAAAUCUUCAAAUGUAUAAUAAAUAAAACAUAAAACAAAUAGCAUAGUUGAAAAGGUACAAAAUAAUUUUAAAAUAAUUAUUGUAUAUAGUACAUUCUAAUAUAAGAUAAAAUAAUGUACAAAAUACUUAGUAUAUGGAAAUUCAAAAUAAACAAAAAUAAAACAGUUUUGAAGUAAACAAUAUGAAGAAUUUCGAAAUAAAUAGGAUAGGAAACAAUUUAAAUUACAUAGUACAUAUAAAUUUAGAAUGGGUAAGGUAUACACAUAUAUUCGAAAUAAAUAACAUAUAAAAUAUUUGAGAUAAAUACUAGUCAAUCUAAAAUAGUUUAAAAUAAAAUAAUAUAUAAAAGAAAAUCUUAAAUAAUAAAAGAAAUAGUUUAAAAAAAUAAAAAAAUAAAAAAAAUGGUGUUAAAAGGUUAAGGGCGCGAUUGAAAUCAUAAUAAAAUAAAGGGGCAUAAUUAAAAAUUUAAAAGAAAUGGAGCAAGGGAUUGAAAUGAAAAGCGCUGAGGACGCAAGGGACUAACUGUGAGAAUUCCCCAUCCCUUAUGCGCAUCACCUUGCAGGACCAGAUUGGAACACGCGAAAACUUAUGUGGCCGAAAUUAAAAUGAAACAAAAGGCAGCAUUGAAUGCGCCGCAGGAUUGGGGGGACCAAAUGCGCAAAUUACCCAUUAGGGCAAGGAUGCGCAGGUCUCCCCUUUAAACGGCGUCGUUUUAAUCAACAUAAAAGCUAAAAAAACCUUCAUUUUUCUGCCGUUUCAUUUUGCUGCAAAGAACGCAAAAAAAAAAAACAAAAGGGGAGGUUCCCCUUCUCUGCCGGAGUUCCAAGGCCAUGGAACAGUGAACGAAAAAACUUUGGCCCCUCCCUAAACCCCAUCCGGCGACGACGAAAGACCAUCGACGGCGGGCCUAAGGGCUGAUUCGGGUGCACUCCCUCCUCUUUUUUUUAUUUAUUUUCCUUAUUAAAAUGAAGUUGUAAAAAGAAAAAGAUAGAAAUAAAAUUAAAAUGAAAAUAAAACGAAUAGAAAACAGUAAAGGUUUAACCUUUUUGAACUUUUAUUUUUGCUAUUUUGAUUUCUGAUGUGCGUUUUUUUUACAAAGAAAAAUCGAAGAAGAACGAUGCAAGAAAACGUUCGGCCUUUAUAGCCAAAAUACAAAAAAUCGAAGAAGAACGAUGCAAGAAAACGUUCGGCCUUUAUAGCCAAAAUACAAAAUCUUUCCGUUCUAUUCUUUGUCGUUUCUUUUUGUCUAUCUCUUCUUUUGUUGUUUUCUUUUUAGUCCGCGUGUCUUCUUCUCCUUGCAGGUGCCCGUGGCCGACAGUGGUGGCAGAGGCGUGCGAGUGGGCGUGGCAGACGAGGAGGCCACGCGAGGCAUGCGGCGCUAGGGUUUGGGGGCAACUUUCUGCCGAAAAUGUUAAUGUUGUCUUGGCUGGGUUUUUAAUUUUUGUUACAACAAGCCAUGGGCUACAUUGGGCUUGUUAUUUUCCUUUGUAAUUGGACUGUCGUUUAUCUUGUUUUAAUAUUCGGGCUUGGGCAUAAAAUUGGGCCUUACAGAAUCCAUCAAAGAAUUUCCUAUAAAAUUUAAGCUUGCCAAACCUAUAAAAUAUCUAACAAAGAAAAUUAAAGUAAAGAAUCAAAAAACAAGAUGCCUUGUUCAACCGAUUCAACUCAACCGCAAUUAAAAAUCCCUAAAGCAAUGGAUUACCAUGACGAGUAUAUGCAAACGAUUUUCUCUCUACAACUCAUCCGAGCCACAACCAAGUCGAUGAAAGUCUGACUCGACGAGUCAGAUUGGAACCAAAAACAACUGAACUGGAAACUCAGUAGCUGUAAUGAGAAAACUUUUGAAUUGAAGAAACUAAAAACACAAAAUUAUGACGAUAAACAAUAAGAAAACAAAGCUUUCUUCUCACGAUUUUCCCUUUUUCAUUUAACUUAUCAAAUGAAAAAUAAAAAUUCAGAACAUUUCUACCCUCUAAGAACAUUUUGAGGCUAUUAAUUUCUAGUCUCAAAAACCAAUACAGAGAAAAUACUAAACAAAAAAUGGACAGGUGGCAAAAGCCGCAGAUCAAACCGCAAAUGAAGAAAUCCGAAACAGAUCUGUUACGUUGGGGGAAGAAAAUAUAUGUACCUCCUGCUCCGAUAAAGUGCAAGUCAGCUGCAAUAUCCGUUCGUCCAGGUUCCAAUACGAGUUCGAACCCACAGAAAACCACGGCGAUAAUCGACAGAGAGGAAUGAAGGAAUGAAGGAAUGAAGGAGGAGAGUGGGGGAUUACUGGAAAAUCGAUAAUCUCAGGGAAAUUUUCUAACAGAAAUGAAGGAAUGAAGGAAGAGAGACUGGGCGUGAAAGUGCAGAGGUUAAUUUGGUCAAUUUUCAGCCAAAAGCACUUCAAGCUGAAGAAAAGGAGAAAUUUUUAGCUUCUCAUAUGGAGAGAAGUGCUUUUCUGAUGGUGAAAUAAUCUGGAGAGAAGGAGGUUAUUCUUCAUUCCUUUUAAGGGAAAAGGAAAAGUCCUUCUAAAACGGGCAGAAGAACGGGGCCUUAAUAACAUAGGAUAAAAAGCUUAUUUAGUAACAGAAGCUUAUCCUAACACCUCAAUUUGUUAUUUAAAAACUGCUCAAUUCAAUAUCACGUCUUUAAAUCAUGUCUGUUGUUUGAGUUAGAUAUUUAAACUAUUUUUUUAUCAAAUCAGGUAUCUAAAUUUUAUUGCGUAACAGAAGUUGGCUCUUACCAUUAAAAAAAUGUCUCAAUAAAUAAAAAAUGUCACACCACCACCGCAUUAAAAUAUAAUUAAAUAAAAAUAAUUAUAUUAAUAUUAUAUAAAAUAAAAAAACCCUUCCCCCACUCUCAUCCCUCUCCUCUUCCCCACGGUCCCCCCUUAAUGGGUGGUGGUUUUUGAACAUCUUGGUCAUUGAAUCAUCUCCGUUAUUUGCUUUGAUGGGUCGUAAGGCUUUUUACCAUUGUGGGUUUUCUUUUUCUUUGAUUUUUUUUUGUGUGUGUGUUUUUUGGGUUUUUUUUAAAAAAAUUUAUUGUCUUUGCUUCAAUGGAAGUAGUAGAUCGGUGGGAUUGACUUAUUUUCUACAUAGAGAUGAAGGGUAGGGGGGAGAGAAUAUUUUUUCAUAUUAAUAUAAUUUUUAUUUAAUUAUAUUUUAAUGAGAUUGUGGCAUGACGAUUUUCUGAUUGGCUAUAACUUUUUGUAAUAAAGCGUAACGACAAGAUUAAUUUUGGUUAUAGAGUAAAAUUUAGAUACUUAACAUAAACAAAGAACAUAAUUUAAGGAUCUCAUGUUGAAUUAAACUUUUAAAAAACAAAAGUAAAAUAUAAAAAAAUCAAUUAAACCACACCCAAUUGAGCCAUUGUUAUUAACUUAAAAAACUAUUUAAGCCUCUCUCAAUAGUUGACAGUAAAAUAAACUAAUAGGCUAAUAAGAUGAUAAUAAGUGGUCGUCCUAGAUUUAAUCUUACAUUGUUAAUAAGACUAUAAAAAUUCAUUAAAAAUGUAAACAAAAUAUAAAAUUGUAAAAAUCAUAACAAGUUAUUGCAAAUAUAAAAGAAAUACUACAAAAAUUAAGAAAAUAUAUAUAAACCAUAAAAAAAAUAAAACUCUUGUAUUUAAAAAUAACAAGUUAUAAAAAUAUAUUAAGAACUUAUAAGAAAAAAUAAAGUUUUGUUUAAUUAUUUUUCCUUUGGCCGAAUUGAUCCUCUAGUUAGUUUGGUCAACACCUGAACGACGUCGUUGCUCCAUCCUUUAUAUCCCUCUUCCUCCUUAAUAAUCUGACUCUAUCGACGGUGUCUCCUUGAUUUCUUAAAAAUUGCCUGAAAUCUCAGGUAAUCUAAAUCUUCCUGCAAAUUCACUCUUUUUCACCUUUCUAAGCAUCCAAAUAGGGAGCUACUACCACUAGUCGAUCUGGGUUUUCUUUCUUCUUUCUCAAUUUAGUUAAAGAAUCUAAAUAUGACAAUUAUUUGACCUAUUUCUUCUCUUUGUUAGGGUUUUAUAUUUUUGAUCAUUCAAAUUUACAUCCAUUUAUUUUGAAUAGUAAUUAUUUUCUAUUGCAGUUUCUUAAAAAAAAUGGAGGAAAUAUUAGCUUUGUUUCUUUCAAUGUUUCUCGUUCUAGCGUUGGUUCCGUUAUAUAUAUGGAAACGCCGUCAGGAUACUCGACCAACCGUUGAACAUGUUGAAGAACGGCAGGUAUGUUUGAAGUUAUUCUAAAAGUCUUAAAUUUGUUUUUAGUUCUGUGUUUUUCUUUAUAUUGGUUGGUGUGGGUUAUAGGCUCCAAGAAGGGAAAAUGUAGUACGUGGUGGGGCCGGUGCUCGUAGUAGGAUGCGGAGGAGACCAACUGCAGGAGGAGCUAGCUCGUCGUCAGCUGCAACUGCUGAAGGUUUGUGAAUUGGAUAGAAUUCUGAAGUUCGAAUUAUUGUUGAGAAUUUAACAAAUUUACUGAUUAAUGACCAUUGGGACUUUCCUGCCAUAGUUGUGAAUUCCGUGUGUGAAAUAAGUAUAGGAGAAUAUAUAAAUUUGCCAGGAUGUUAUUGUUUCUGCCAAUUAGUGUAUUAAUUUUCAAAUAGUGGUAUGUUUUCUCUGACUGAUGCUUUAUAGGGACUGUUUAUAAGUGGACUAAGGACAUAGCCAGCAGUGACUUAUUUUUUAUGAUCUGAUGAGUUCUUUGUGAGGACUGAGAGUAAGCGUUGGUUCUUUUGUGAAUACAAACUGAAUUUAAACGCUUUAUGUUGUUGAAAAGUCGUUGCGGUCAUGUAAACGCUUCUUAGUAAGCCCAGGAUCCUUUUCUUCUCUUUGGGAAGGUGCCAAAGGAUGCAACUGAAUUUACCUCGUAGGACAGUCUAGUCUUCUUAUGCUCUUUUCUCUUCUUGGGGUUACUGGCACUGGUUUUGAGCAUUUUGUGUACCGAAAUGUGAAUGCAGAAACUGCUGAUGGAAGUGAGGAAGAAGAGGAAGGAGAUGGAUAUUAUGAGGCUAAAGCAUCAAAGAAGAAGGAAAAGAAACGGCAAGAAAGGGAUGCACAACGAAGGGUACAUCAUUAUCAUCUUAUUGUUUACUUAUCUAUUUUCUGUUUUACUCGGGCUCUUGGCCACUGUUCACUAAGUUCAUAUGAUUUUUGGUCAAGGCUGAAGAGGCUGCUCGUGAGUCAAGGCUGACUAAACAGGAUCGAUAUGCUGAAAUGCGGAGGAAAAAGGAUGAGGAGCGUGAGGCAGAGGAACGUAGGCUGGUCUGUUGGUUGCCUUCAUCUUUGUAGCAUGAUGCAUGCAGAAUCCAAACACAUGACCCCUUGCAUAUAUGAUUUUCUGGUUCACUACAUUUGCUAUGGUUUAUGCAGGAAGAAGAAGCUCAAGCUCGAAAGGCCAAGGAGGAAGAAGCUGCUGCCUUGGAGUUUGAAAAGUGGAAAGGAGCAUUUUCAGUUGAUGCUGAAGGAACAACAGAGAACGAAUUGCAAGAUGGAAGUCAGGAUUUGCUUUCUAAUUUUGUGGAAUACAUUAAGGUACGUUUGAGCCCGGUAUCUAAGCUAGUUAGCCAUCCUAAUUUUGUUUUUGAUGAAUGCUCAAAAUUUUUCUUUGGCUGUUCUUCAGUCUUCUAGAUCUCUUCCUUCUGGUCUUUUUUCAUUGACAAAUAAAUAAAUUAUCAAAUGUGUAUAUCUGUUUCAUGGAACAUAAUAAGCAUUUUCAAAUUACACGAGCUGCAUAAUGAUUGAAUGAGCAUCAGUCCACUUUAUAAUUUUAUUUGGUCCCAAUAAGUCUUUGGAAUGUAUAUUUUUGUGUUGCCUUUUGUUUUUUUUAACCUAUUUGUAUAUGAUCGUGCAGAAUCAUAAAUGUAUUCCUUUGGAAGAUCUUGCUGGAGAAUUCAAAUUGAGAACCCAGGUAUAUGAUCUUAAUAGCUAAGUAAAACCCUUUCAUAUGUGUACUUUCAGCCUCUUGAAUAUUGUAAAACCCAUCAACGGAAUGUGUGUUGCCUUUUUUUUUUUAAAUCCUAUCCCCGUUUGCUUCUAUUUUUAAAGUACAAUGAUUGUUUGAUGCAGGAAUGUAUCAAUAGGAUCACCUCCCUUGAAAGUAUGGGUAUGUAACUAUUAUCUAUUAUCAAUUCGGGUACUGAUUUUAGGAAAUGGAUAAUCAAAAUGCUUGUCAUCUACAAUGUAAUGAUUUAUGCAACGAUCCUUUAUUUGGUGUGUGUGCAGGGCGACUUUCAGGUGUCAUGGAUGAUAGAGGGAAGUAUAUAUACAUCUCAAUGGAGGAGAUGAAGGCUGUAGCUGACUAUAUCAAGCGUCAAGGAAGAGUAAGCAUUUCACAUUUAGCUAGCAAAUCUAAUCAGUUCAUCGAUCUAGAGCCGAAAGUUCAAUUUACAGAGGAGAUCAGCACAGCAGAGGAAAUCACUGUUGCUUGAUUCAAUUGUACACUCUUCCCUUCUCAAGAAUAUGUAGGACAAGUUACACUGAGGAAAAAAAUAUAGCAAUUGCAUCAUGAAAGAUGCCAGUUUGAAGGAUUUUGUUUAUACUUUUUUACAUGUUUGUGGCAUAAAGUCUAGUUGUGUUUCAGUUUAGAAAUCUAAUUUUCUUGGCCUGUAAGGAUGGAUGAGUUUUGUGGUGCUGUAAUACUACAAGUCAUGCAAACUAUCAUUAGUUGACUGUAAGAUAGGUAUUAGCAUAAACAUGAAAAUUUCAAUGAUUUUACUUUAAGAUAACUUGAACUGAAAUGAACUUAUGGCGUUGUUUUUCAUGAAGAUCAUGCAUUAGAAUUUAGAAUCAAUAUGGAAAUUGGCAUCAUUUGAAUUUGUGAUCACUUUAAUUGAGAUGAUGAAUUAUAUGUAAAUUUUUUGUUUAAUAUUUAUCUCCUACUGGGUUGAACGGAUAACCUUUGGACCAUUAGCAUGCAUGAAGAAGGAAAUUAGUAUGAGAAUUACAAUUAAUGAUCAUUAUAGUGGACGUAGAGGGUUCUUUCCUUUAGGUAGUAAACAUGAAGAGAUGACGGAGAGACCUUAGAAAACAAGUGCGGAGAUAGAGAUAGGUGAAUGUGAUGUAAAUGAUAUAUAAAUAGCAAGGGAUGGUGAAAGCUCUAGCUGUUGCAUAGAAAAUUUUUUAAUUUUUAAAGUUUAUCAAAACAACUUGAAGAAAACGUUUAAAACUCCAUUUACAGUCUCAUUAGAAAGUUAUUAAAGAGUGAAUGUGUUGCAAAUAAUACAUAGUGGAAGAACCUAUUGUAUACCGGAAAUAAUGGGAGAGAGGGAAGUUAUAAACAUUACAUGGAAUGGUAAAGAGUACACCAUUUAUUGCGCGGACUGCGGAUCUAAGUCCAAAUGAGGUACAUUUGAUCUACUUGAAUUGGCUCGAGUCAUGAAAUAUGUAGAGAAGUCUAUUGAUUAAUUCGAUAUGUACCGUUAAAUUUGGAGGAGCUCAACUAUAAAUAGAGACCUUCCCAUCAUUUGUAAUCACUCAGUUGUAAUCCUUCAAAGUAAUAGAAUACUUUUGAGAGGAUUUACUCAAACACUUGGUAUGCAUUACUUUUCUGUAGAUUUUAUGUUCAAUCGUAGUUAAAACUGUGAAUUCUUUUGAAAAUUCUCUAAAAAAUUAUCAAAAAUAUCUUAAUAUAAAUUAUCAAAAUAUAUAUAUUUGUGAUUAUUAAACAAAAAUAAAUCUGGAAAGUAAUUUACCCAUUGGGAUGGAUUCUAGCAUUAAAAGAAAAGGUAAAUAACGGGAAAAACUGAAAUGAGUCAACUUACUAAUAACAAACUUGGAACAAAAAUAUCUUAAUAUUAAAACCCAACUUGAUUCCGACCAAAGACGACAACCGGUCGUGCCCGAAAAGUCGUCGUUUUAACCUUUUUUUGUUUUUUAACUUUUGUUGUCAGAAAUUGUACUCCACUGUAGUGCUCCCUCCUUUAUUCUCAUUGACCCACACACAGCUCCAUCGAGCGCCACGUGUAUGUUUACACCAUCACAAUCGAGUACAUUUUGACACACGCCCAUGAAUCUCAUUCACCAUAACUUGCGUACAACCUCCGAAAAUUCCAAAAAGAGUUUUAAUUAGUAAAUUAAUUUCUAAGCCUUUCCUUUCAAUUUCCAAAAACCAAAAAUUGAACUCCACUCCGACAACACACACAAACGCCUCUCACAUUUCUGCUUAUUUCUAGGGUUCAUUUUUUCUUCUUUUAAUAACCUAAAUUUCAUUUCUCCAUCCCAAAAAUCCUUGGAUCAGGUAACUUUUCCCAUAAAGCUCCUUCAGUUUUUUCCUUUAAAUGUUUUUGCGGGUUAAAAAUCAAAUUUUUUUACCGUCCAUUUGUUCAUCUAAAACUUUUUUGAUCCUGGGUUUUGUCUAAUAUUAAUAAAAAAUCUUUAUAUUUGCUUCAAAUUAAAAAUCUCUUCUGCAUGAAGAAAAGCAGCAAAAUUAUGAUUGUUACUUUUCCGGGAAUCUUGUUGUUCAUUCUUGUUUGAAGAUUAGAUUAGAUUGAAAAUAUUAAUCUAAAAUUCUGAUUCUUUCCUUGUUUGGUUGGUUUGAUAAUGUGGUGCUUAGAAUUAAUAAUAAUGAUGUUUUUGGAAUGAAGUUGUAGCUAAUGUUAGCCUUUGUGGGGGUAAAAUUUUGCAUUUUCUUAUAUCAUUGAGUAAGUAGAAGAGCAAAUAGGAAUUGGAACCCUGGGAAUUGAAUCUUCCUUAGAGAGGGUAUAUAACACAUGUUAGGACAAACCUGGGUUAAUGAUGAUUGUGGUCAAGUUUGAAUCUUGUCAUGACUAGAUGUUGCUUGUUUUUGGCUUAGCCUAUGGUUUUGAUUUUUCCAUGUUCAGCUACUUAUUUUCUCACUUUCACCCUAAAAUUUUAACACUUUGCUUUUUAACCUUGAAAGUUUAAUCAAAUUGCUUUGCUUUUAAUGGAAAAGCUUAUUGAACCGUUAAAAUUUUAAUAGUCUUAAUGUGACAGGCUGCAUGGCGGUCCACAUGUGCUUAUAUUGUUAACAUGGAUAAUUUUUGUAUAUAUUUUUUAUUAAUUUUGAAAUUCUACUUAUUAAGUAUAGGUGGAUUGCCGCCAGAAUUGUCAGGUCAAUGCCGUUAAAAUUUUAUUGGUUCAAUUACUUUUUUCCGUCUAAUAGAAAGUAAUUUGACUAAAUUUUAAAAGUUGAAGGCCAAAGUGAUAGGAAAAUAUUUAGGGUCACGAUAAACAUUGUCUUUUUCAUUAACUUUUGAUCUUCACUUUUCUUUUCUUUUGUAAUAUAUGAUAUGAUGUUGAUCUGAUGUGGGUAUUGCUUUGCUAUUUUAGGUCCGAGCUUGUGGUUGUUAGGCCUCUUUGAUCAACUAAGUUUCAUGUCUGAUCUCGACGUCCAAAUUCCCACUGCCUUUGGUAUACUUGGAUCCUAACCUCCUCAAUUCAGUUAUUUUCAUCGUUGUUGACGGAUUUAACUUUUCAUUCGUAAUUGUCUUGAUAGAUCCCUUUGCCGAUGCAAAUGCUGAGGACUCAGGUGCUGGUGCAAAGGACUAUGUGCACAUUCGUGUUCAGCAACGGAACGGUAGGAAAAGCCUGACAACUGUCCAGGGGUUGAAGAAAGAAUUCAGCUACAACAAGAUACUCAAAGACCUCAAAAAGGAGUUCUGCUGCAAUGGCACCGUGGUCCAAGACCCUGAAUUAGGCCAGGUGCGUGUAACUAUUACCCCUUUUAAGUCUUGUUAAUUAGUCCGAUGGUCAAUUCUUUUACCUUUUCCAUUCGUGUUCAGGUUAUUCAACUUCAAGGUGACCAGCGUAAGAACGUAUCUACCUUCCUUGUUCAGGUAAUUGUUAUCGCUUUAUGGAAUAUUUAAAUUUCUUAGGUGACCUUAAGCGGAAGUGCACUGAUGCAGUUUCUUUGUGUUUCUGAGCAGGCUGGCAUUGUGAAGAAGGAAAACAUCAAAAUCCAUGGUUUCUAAGUUGCACAUGCUUAAAGUUUUUGGCUAGGUUCACUCGCCUCCUAUUGAAGUAGGAAAUACUACCUGAUUUGGGAUAUAUACAUAUCCAUAGUUGUUACACCUUUAUGUUGAUUUAAUUACAACAUAUAUGCAUCUCGUAUUUCGUGUACUUUCCGGUUUGCCGGAAUCUGUAGUAUUGGUUGAUUAUGAACUCUACGGAAGUUUGUUGCUCUGUGAUUUAAAGUUAAAACAAGUAUAGUUUUAGUCAUUCGAAUACCAUCUUUUGCAUUUGGAUUUCAUUACACCAGAAUAAGCAUCAAAGUUGUCACUUCUUAUGCUAAUUGGGAUUUCAUGUUUUUCUUCAAUCCAAUAAAAAGCAACCCAUUAUUCAGCUUUAAUGUGGGACACUUUGGAGCUAUUGUAAAGAGGGAGGCAAAAUUUCCAUCACCCUAUGUAUUUUGGGGACCUACCUUAUUGAGUAAUUGUAUUGGUCCCCAAAUACAAUAAUACUUUCUUGAUAUUUUUUUAUUUCCUUAGAAACCGAGUUAAAGAUUCUUUGUCCCUAAAGUUCUUAAUGAUUUUACUUGAAGACUAGUUGGGAAUGUGCCCACCUUUGUUGCAAAAUGACGUCAUUUUUUCUCUAUUUUUCCUUGAAAAAGAUCAAAACUUGAAUAAUCCAUUUACAAUUUUCAAUUUCACCCAACGGCUGUGCUUUUAUGUGCUGGAACACUAAAGAAGUUGCAAUGUAUCCUCUUUUGUGUUGGUGUACAUUACGCAACAACACCAAACUGUCUACACGUCUUACUUAUCUUUUAAAUUCAGUUUAUCCCAUUCACAAUAAUUGCAGCCUUACUAUUUUUCAUUUAUUACGAAUUUUCUCUCAAUGCGCCUUUCCUGAUUAAAGUUGUUAACACUUAAUUGAUAAGUGGAAUUAUAGAAGAUAUUUGAACAAGAUGAAAACUCUUAAUUUUCUAUCAUCGUAAAUCUACUCAACAAUAGUUGGAAAAAACGGGUUUUGAAAAAUGAUUUUGGUUGUGAUAUCUAAAGUAAUAAACACUUAAAUAAAAUUUCACCUUUUCGAUUUGUCUAGAAUAAGUGCUUCGACCGAGUAGCCUUCUCCUCCACGUCUAUCGAGAGUGGGUUCAUUUCAAAUAAAAAAAUUUCAAAAAAUUGCUAGUGGAGCAAUUUUGUAAUUUCUCUAAACUUUUGAGUCAAAUUGUAAAUCAGAAAAAUAUCUCUAGAAAUUUUAUGAAAUAAUCUCUUCAGAGAAUUUUCUCUACAAGACCAACCGUCGCCAGCCGCUAGUACCGCUAUGUCCAGUGACAACCCUGUCGAUCUGGUUUAGCCACCGGUUGGACUAUCAGCCCGAUUUGACUAGUUUUGGGGUCUUAGUCUUGGUUUUGGGCUCCUAGGUUCAAUUUACGAUUUCAGGUCCAAUUUUUAAGUUCAAUUACUCAUUGGGCCAAUUGUCUGACUUGAAAAUUAAUUUCCAAAAAUAUCAUAUUAAUUUUAAUUAAUUUGAUUAAUUUAAUUUUACUUGAUCAAAAUUAAUUUUCCCAAAAAUCACUUAGAUUUUCCAAAUUAAUUUUUCAAGAAAAUUCUUUAAUCAAAUUAUCUAGUUGAACAAUUUUCACGGCCACUUAAUUUAAUUCCACAUCGAAUAAAUCGACUCAAUUAAAUGAUUUCCAAAGUUAUAGAAUUUUCUUCUGAUUCAAAUUGCAAUUCGAUCGAGCUUUUGUUGGGCUAGCGGAGGGACCAAUCGAGCAUAUACAAUUAGGCUCUAGUAAUUGCAAUUAUGUCCAUAAGCAUCUUUCCGAUAAUUCACAAUUACUUAAUCAUAGAGUUAAUCCAUAAGAAGUACCAUGAUUGAAAACUCCUUAUUUUAUACUCUUUACGAAAACAAUUAAUCCAACUGUUUUGUCCAAUGGCCUCGUCAUGUGUGUGUUUCUCUCAAAUGAUAUCCUUGAUUCCUUUGAGCUAAAUUCUUUCACUCAAUACAAUCCUAUUUUAUCUUGUUGUCACCAUUGUGUCUUCUUAAUGAUUAAUAUGAUCACUGUUAACAAAUGACUGAGAUAAAUUGCUUGUUUGAGAAUAAGCAGCCUGUUGUCACGUUCCAUAUUUAUUAAUCCACACAAUGCCAAUGAGAGGAUAUCAUUAACUCUUUAACUGAGUAAUGAAUUCCAUUGUUGUUAGUAAAGUCAUGUCAUACACAAGUCAUGUACUCAACAUACCGGCUAUGGGCUCGAUUAUCGUUAGAGCAUAAGCCUCCACUUAUAUCAAAGCAUAUGAGUUGCAUACGCAUGGUCAAUGGCUAACUUAGAAUUUAGGUAAAUCACACUAUGAACGUCACAAGUGAAUUAUUUCACAAAUGGAUUCAUAAUUAAUUCAUCUUGAAUCUAGUUCAAUGUAUCAUUCUACUAAUGAAUACACCUACGUCUCUACCCGUGGAGUCAAUUGCUCCGAUAGCCAAGGCUAGCCAUCUCUCCAUUUGGAAUUGUAGACGACAUAAUAAUCCUUCUCAGUAUUUUAAUCAAAUGCUCACUUCUAUUUUUUUACAGGAUUACAGACUUAUUUAGAUUAUCUACUGAAAUAAGUUGUCUUUCUCACAAUGUAAAUGUUCUUACAAUGCCAUUUAUCUUUAGUUUGAACUUAGACAAUCAAUGAGUUAAUAUUUGCUUGUCACGAUUUUGUUUUGCAUGCAAAAUAUAAAAGAUAGAAAUACAAAAGACAUAAUAGUGAAAUGUGAAAUUAACUUCAUUUAUUCAUUCAUCGUUCAAAUAAAUAGAAAAUAGUUACAUGUUUACUUUAAUAUGGGAACAUUUUCCAAUAGUACGUGCUCACUUAAUUCCCUUUCUAUAAAACCAUCAAAUAUAUCUUCUAUAUAUAUCAAGGCUGACUAAUCAAUUUUUGCAUAAGCUCCAUGUAAAGUGUGAUAACAAAGUUAUCAUUCUCUUUUUUUAAAUGCAUUGUCUCCAAGAGCAUCUUCAAGUGUCAUGUUUAGAUUGGGGUUACCAAAAUUGUUGAUUUCCUUUUUGAGAUAAGAUUCUUUUUAAUAGAAAUAAAAUCUUACUUUUUUGUUGCUUAUAGAACAUAUUUAAAUUAAAAGGAUAAUUAUUGUUGAUGUAAUUUAAGUGAAAGGGAGGGAAGAUGUAAGGGAAAGGAGAGAGGCGAGAUGGAGGGAGGGAGAAAGUUCACAUUGUUGAAUUUCAAGAGCCUAGUUGGAUUUCUAAAUGUCUUCUCAUGUCAUAGUGAUUGGGAGCUAUAUAUACAUACUCCUAGGUAGGUUUCCUCUCCUUGAUGUUUAUAGGAUGAGUCAUGUGGCCUUGCUGACAGGUAUACUAAUGUAUGUUCCUCGAGCUAUGUGCCACAUUGUUGAGUCUUUAGAGUCUACACGACAAUGAAUUUGUGAACCUUACAAAUGGUGUAUGAGACAUGGUGAGGUCUUUGCUCUUGAUAAGGCAAUGGUCUUUGACGUGAUAGGCACUUGGCAAGGUCUCCAUUCGAGUAAGGCGGAAUGGGGUGAGGUAUAUAACAAUUGCCCUUUCCCCCCAUGUUGAGGGAAAGGUUAUAAAAUGACGUUCCUCGAAACUUAGAAAGUUUUCAAUUUCUUUUUGCCUCUAUUUUCUCUUCCUUCCUUUCCUUUUGGCAAGUGUUGGCGAAAGAGUUUUUUCCAAUAUUGCAGUUAUGUUAUAGAAUAGUUGCGAUUAGAGUAUAUUUUGGUUAUGGAGUAAGGGGACAAUUGAAAAUGCAAUUAUAUAAGAUAAGAAGAAGUGAUGUUGCUUGAUUUAUCCACGACAUCAUUUUACUUUAUUAUAUCAUAUGUAUGUGAAACUAUAAUUUGUGGAUGGAAUCAACAAAUAUUAUAAUAAUUCUUAGGAAGGGUCACAUUAGAGACUAUAAAUUGGUAAGGGGAUAAGGAAAAAUUCAUUUGACUUUCAUUUGUGUUAAAAGUUUUUUUUUUUGUUUUAGCAAGUUUUCUUUGUGCUCUAGUACCAUUUUUUGGUUUGUGACAUCCUUUACUAUGGGUGAAAGAUUUAUUGUAGAAUGAGAUUUUAUUAUUUUUGGCAAGUGUUAUGUUGUUAUUCUUUUGUUUUAGUAGCUUUUUAUUUUGAUUUCAAAUAGGUGAUGGGAUAAAGUAAUUUUAUGUUUCACAAUUUUAAGAAUUUUGGUGGUUUAGAAAUCAAGUACUGGUUAAUACAUUAUACAUUGCAAAAGUGUGAGUAAUACGGUGAGAAUAAAAAGAUGCUUAGGUCGAGAUACUGAUGGAGGUGGUAAGAGAAGGAAUAAUGUGAGAAGUGUGGGAGAAACUUCUGAUGAGAGAAACAUAGGUAGAAAUUUUUGGGUUGUGGUUGUUCUUAUGGAAGAUGCCUUCGAGUGCCACACAAAACCUAAUUUCAUAAGGCAAAUAUUAGCUACAAUGGGCUUGGAAUUAGUAGUUUUCAAGUUACUAAAAUGAUUCUCUAUACCUACCAUAAAAUUACAAUAUUUACUAAAAUAAAAAGGGUAAACUAUAUUAGUAGUUGUUCAACUAUUAGUAAUUUUUUUUGGUAAUUUCACUAUGAAAGGUUAUAGAAUGAUUACCAAACUAUUAGGUAGCAUCUUUUAAAAUUGAUAUAAUUGCAACUUUAAUCCUCAACAUUUUAUAAAUUGUGUUAAUUUAGUCUUAAUUCUAAAAAAAAGUUAACUAUCAACAUUUACACAUUGUGUAAUUUGUUUUUUUUUUUUGUUUUGCAAUUUUAAUUUUCUUUGUGACAUUGAGAGUUACUUUUAAAAGAAUAAUAAAAGAUGAAAAUUAUUAUCUUAGAUUUUUUAGUGUUUCUAUUUUUUGUGUAUUUUAUUUUUUAAUCAAAUUAGAUGAUAAAUUUAUUUUUUAACUUUUUAGAUGGAAGGGUCACAAAAACAUAAAACUAUAAAAAGGAUUAAAUUACACAAUAUAUAAAUAUUGAUGGUUAAAAAUAUUAUUAUUCUAAUUUUGAAAAUUAUCACAGUUAACCACUAAAUAAUUAAGUGAUAUUUUAUAAUAAGAUUAUAAAAAAAUAUUAAUAAUUAGGUAAUAUAUUUAAAUAAAAAAACACCAUGGUGAAUGAAAAAUCCAAGAUACUACAAUCAACUAGAAAUCCGUAGGAUGAGAAGGUGACAAAAAGAUUACCAAAAGUUGAGCUUUUGAUGACAAAAGAUCAUCAAAAGGUUCUUCAUAUUGAAGCCCACUUGAGUAUUUGACAAUGACAUAAUAGAGAAAGUGGGAUGAGAGAGAGUGCUUAGCCAACAAAAUGCCUCAACCCUAAUGCACCAAAUACACCAUCUUUCUUGCCCCACAUUUGAUGAUUAUGACAAUUAAAUUAAUAUUUAGUAUAUAAAAACAAAUCCUAACCAUUCUAGACCCUUCAAAUCCUAUCCUCUUCCCACGUGUCCUCUCAGAUAUUUUCUUCACUUUUCUUGUUCCACUUUUAUAUAUUUGGUCAGUCUCUUCAGUUCUUUCUACUAUCUCACCUCUCCAGACUUCCGAGGAACACCAAAACCUUCUUUUGUUUUCUUCUUCUAAUCAAUGGCAUCUUCCAUAGCUACAACUCUCACUUCCUCUUCAAAGCUUUGCAGGAACACUUCUCUCUUCGGGUCUUCCUUCCAUGGGGUUCCAAUUAAACCACUUUCUUUUCAUUUCAAAACAAAGUCUUCCCCGUGCAACGCAUCCAUUUCCAUGUCUGCAGCAUCACCUCCACCCUAUGAUCUGAAUAAUUUCAGGUUUGACCCCAUCAAGGAGUCCAUCGUCUCACGUGAGAUGACACGCAGGUACAUGAUGGACAUGAUCACCUAUGCUGAUACCGAUGUGGUGGUCGUCGGUGCCGGCUCCGCCGGGCUCUCUUGUGCCUAUGAGCUUAGCAAGAACCCCUCCGUACAGAUAGCUAUUGUCGAGCAGUCUGUUAGCCCCGGAGGUGGUGCCUGGCUCGGUGGGCAGCUUUUCUCUGCCAUGGUAAAUCUUAAAAAAACAAAAAUCAUUUUGGGUUCUCUUUUAUGAAAUUUCUUUUGUUUUAAGGCCUUGAAAUUGUCUCAAACUCUAUGUUUAUUCAGGUAGUGCGGAAACCAGCUCAUCGCUUCCUCGACGAACUCGCCAUUGAAUAUGAUGAACAAGACGACUAUGUUGUGAUCAAGCAUGCAGCCCUUUUCACAUCCACUAUCAUGAGCAAGCUUCUAGCCCGCCCCAACGUGAAGCUGUUCAACGCUGUGGCGGCGGAGGACUUAAUAGUGAAGGAAGGGAGAGUUGGUGGUGUUGUGACAAACUGGGCCCUGGUGUCAAUGAACCAUGACACUCAGUCCUGCAUGGACCCUAAUGUGAUGGAGGCCAAGGUGGUGGUGAGCUCUUGUGGUCAUGAUGGGCCAUUUGGAGCCACCGGGGUGAAGAGGUUGAAAAGCAUUGGGAUGAUUGAUAGUGUGCCAGGGAUGAAGGCACUGGAUAUGAAUACAGCUGAGGAUGCUAUAGUGAGGCUGACUAGGGAAAUUGUGCCUGGGAUGAUUGUCACCGGGAUGGAAGUUGCUGAGAUUGAUGGAUCCCCAAGAAUGGUAAUUUUAUUCCCACUUGCACAAUCAUUUUUAUUACUGUUGUUGUUGGACUAUUAUUAACAUAUUAACAAAUACAGGGGCCAACAUUUGGAGCAAUGAUGAUAUCAGGGCAAAAGGCAGCCCAUCUUGCCCUGAAAUCAUUAGGAUUGCCUAAUGCAAUUGAUGGAACAUAUGUGGGAAGCAUUCAGCCGGAGCUGAUCUUGGCCGCUGCAGAUUCCGCCGAGACCGCUGACGCUUAGUUGCAAGGGUCAUAGUUGCUAAACUGCUAUGGAGAUAGGAGGAAUUGGAAUAAUGUGCAGUCAUUGGUAGGAUUUGGAAUAAUCUCCUGUAACUUAGUAGCAAAACCUUAGCAUUUUGUAGCUUGUUGUUCUUCUCCUUGCAUGCCUUUUAAUUGAGUUCUGUUCUCUUUCUUCUUUGUCUUCUAUAUACUUGCAACUUCCACAGUUAAGCCACCAUUGUUGCAAUAAUACCAAUUAGUGCAGAGUUUCACAGAACAACCUUGAAGCUAAACGAAGGAACACAAACAUCAUUAAUUAACUGCAAAAAACAAGGUUAACCAAGGCAAGAACAUUACAUGCAUACUUAUCAAUCAAAUCAGACAGUGAAGGAAUGUAACAAUAGACCUAUGUCCAAAGUUGGGUUACUAGCGAGGUUCGGUCAAGUUUGACCUCAAGUAUCAUUUUAUUAAAUAGUAAUUGUUACAUAUGGAUUGGCCUUACAUGUAGGAAACAUUUGAUUCAAAUAAAAAACUUGGGUGUUGCAGUUUGGAACAACAUUUGGAGUUACAUACAAAGCAAUAUCGGUUAGUUGCUUAAGGGUCCAUUUCAACAUCCACAAAGUAAAGAAGAAUGUAAACCAUUUAUGUGCAAGAGAGGGUUUUGCUUGCUAUAAAACUAAAACAUUAACAAAUCCGAAACCUUAACCAACAAUCUAAAAAUAAAACUACAAACAUUAUUAUCCUUUUUACUGGACAGAAUUAAACAAAUAAUUAAUAUAACUAAUUUUCCAUGUCCGAAGCAGCCGCAGAAACUAGAGGCAGAGAAUAUAGCUAAAGGCUUCACGUCCCUCUUCUUCUCCCUUAUAACCCUUUCUUCUCUAAACUUCAUAGGGUUUCACUCAGACAGAAUUCUUUCAUCGCCUCUCUUCUCUCUCCCCUCCCCUCGCCGCGCCGUGGCCGCGCGGCUUUCUUCUCUGUGUUUUCCUCCGCCGCUCUCAGCAUUGGCCAGCAAAAAAAGAAAAAAGGGUCUGAAAGGUAAACAAAAGAAAAGCAGGCAUGAAAGUGCCUGGGUUGAAACUCAUAUGUCUUGCUUUCCUGUUUAUCCACACAAGAAUCCUGGUGUGUUAUGGCGCUCCAGACGAUGCUGUCGACGACUAUACGGACGAGACACCGGCUAAGCCACCGCCGCCUGAGAUGGACAAUUGUAAUGGUGUAUUCUUGAGCUACGCUUUCACGUCAAGGACUAAAGCAUUACCCCUCCUGAAAAACGUUUCAGCUCAGCCGUGGACGUUUAAAGCCAUGGCCACCGUUGUAAAUUCUGGGACGGAGGAGGUAAAAGGAUGGAAGAUGUAUAUUGGGUUUCAACAUAAAGAGAUAUUGGUGUCCGCAACCAACGCCGUCCUGGUUGACGGUGACGUGGAUUUCCCGGCGGCAGUUGGAAAUGGAACAACCUUAGCAGGGUACCCCAACGCAGACCUCAAGACAUCCAUUGACACUGCUGGGGAUUUUAAUCAAAUUGCCGUCCAGGUUGAGCUCAAGGGUUCCAUGUUCGGAUUAGGCGAGAAGGCCACUCCUAUGCCUAAGACCAUCAGCCUCAGAAACGAUGGCUGGAGAUGCCCCACGCCUACUAAAUAUAGUGUGUUUCAAGUUCCAAUCCAAUGAUGAUUUUCAUGCUUUUAAUGAGAUGCUAUCUAAGGCAAGCUAACAUUACUUUUUUGUGUUCUUGUUCUAUAGAAACCUACAUGCAUGCAUGUUGCAAAAGGGAUCCGAAAUUCAAACUGAAUUCCAAUAAAAAAAGCAAGUUCGCGGCUAGGCAAAAUGGAGACCUCACCUUCACGUACGAUGUUGUUAAAUCAUAUGAAGGCAGCUACGAGGCCCAAGUAACGAUGGACAACAGCAGCCCCAUCGGCAGGCUGGAUCGUUGGAACCUGACAUGGGAAUGGAUGAGAGGGGAAUUCAUUUACUCCAUGAAAGGAGCCUACACUCCCAGAUUUGAUAUCUCCGACUGCGUUUAUGGCUUAGCUGGUCGUUACCUCACGGGCUUCGAUUUCACUAAUGUCAUGAAUUGUGAAAAAAAGCCAACCAUUACUGAUUUGCCGCUUACUAAAGCAAAUGAUACCCAGAUUGGUAAGAUCCCUUAUUGUUGUAAAAAUGCAAGUCUGUUGCCACCACAAAUGGAUCCCAGCAGAGCCCGAGCCAUUUUCCAAUUAAGGGUGUAUAAAUUGCCCCCUGAUACCCCACCCACUAUUUUGUACCCACCACAAAGAUGGAAUAUUACCGGCGUCAUUAAUGCUCGCUACCACUGUGGGCCUCCGAUUAGAGUAGAUCCCUCUGAGUUCCCUAAUCCAAAGGGGUUCGAUGCUAAAGUAUAUGCCAUCGCAAGUUGGCAAGUUGUGUGCAACAUGACCAGAGCAGAGAAAAGGAAAACUAGGUGUUGUGUUUCCUUCUCAGCUUACUACAGCGAUGGUGCUAUUCCAUGCAGCACCUGUGCUUGCGGAUGCGACAAUAUCGACACCGAUAAAUGCAAUCCCGACAAGCCUGCGAUGCAUCUCCCACCCGAUGCACUCCUCCUUCCUUCCGAAAACAGGACUGCUAAAACUAAAGCCUUUGCUAAACUCAAGAAGAAAGGGAUUCCCAGGAAGUUGCCUUGCCCCGACAACUGUGGGGUCAGCAUCAACUGGCAUAUCAACACCGAUCACAAGGCCGGAUGGUCGGCUCGGAUGACGCUGUUCAAUUGGCAAGAAGCUCCAUUCGUGGACUGGUUCGUAGCCGUUGAAAUGAAAAAAGCAUACCCUGAUUACGACAAUGUGUUUUCCUUUAAUGGAACCAAGAAGCUCAAAGGCAUCAAGAACACCAUUUUCUUCCAAAGCUUGAAGGACUUGAAUUACCUGGUGGAAAUGAAAAAUGGGUCUAAACCGAGUGAUCCUAAAGUCCCUGGAAAACAGCAAUCGGUUAUUUCAUUCAUCAAGAAAAAGACGCCCAAUAUAAAAAUUCGAAAGGGCGAUGGGUUCCCUUCCAAGGUCUACUUCAAUGGCGAAGAAUGUGCACUUCCUCGUAGUUUCCCGAGUUCAGGGCACCGUUCUCCGCUUUCCAUUGCAAGUUUCAUCUUGAUAUCUAUUACCACCACUUUCUUGCUCAUCACAAACCGUUUCAUUUGAUCAUCAUUGCCUUUUCCUUUUUUGUUGGCUCGGAGUAUGUCAGCUUUGGUAAAGAUUAUUGAUAUGUAAGUAUCUGUAUUUUUGAAUAACUCUCCCCAGCCCCAUCAAAAUCAUUCAUCUUUUAUGACCGGAAAUUUGAUUUGACUUCUCGUCUUUGGGGGAGGGGGGGGGGGAAAGGAACAUGAAAAUGCUGAUGAACUGGACAUUAGAGGGUGGAUAUAUCUAAAGGAUGAAGAGCGAGAGCAGCGGGCUAACUUCAAAUUCAAGGCUUGUUCUACUAGAGUUAUAAGCAACUGUAACAAACUGUGGAAACAAAAUUUUAUGAUAAUUAUGACAAGGGUUCCAAUGUAGUAAUACUUUGGAGUAAACUUUUUGGUUUUUGCUUUCUUUUUAUGUAUGUAUUCUACUGCAAAAGAGUCAUAGGAUUCAGGUUCAGAUUUCAAUGAAUAAAGACAAAUUCCUUUUCUUUAGUUCAGUUUCUUUUAUAUAUAAGAUUGUUUAAGAAAAGAUAAUUAAUACACUCAUCACAUUUUAUUUUAUUUUAUUUUCAUCAUUUCUGGCUAGCAAUGCUUUCCUGUUUAAUAAUUUCGCCCUAUAAAUACAAAUGAUUCAAUGAUUUUCUCUAUUGGUACUUUGUCCCUAAACUCAUGUUGUUCCUGCAUAACAAAACUAUUAGUGAAAUGAUUAACAUGUUAUUUGCCUACAACGGUUGUAAUACCUUAAAUUUUGGUAAGGAUUAAGUUAUAAAAGUUUAAAAGUUGAAGGACUGAAACUGUAAAUAUACCAUUUUAGAAAAGGGGUGAAAUUUUAAGAGAUAUUCUUUUUCAUGAAUAUGGAAAAUCGAGAUCAGGACUAAAUUGAAUAAAGUGGAAAAGUACAAUUUUCCUAUUUUGCAUUUGAGGGACCUAAAUGCAAAUCUUCCAUUUUGAAAAUGAUAUUUUUGAGACACAAUGAUGAUGUUAAAACACCUAACCUCGUGAGCUGUAAAGUUUUAAGGAAAAUUAAUAUAUGAUAAUUAUGGGUGAAACAUGGUGGAAUUUAAUUGGUUGGUGAAAUAAGGAUUAAAUUGAAUGAAAAGAGAGAUAAAGUGGGACGGCAACAAAAAUAAAAGGGAAAUAAAGGAAAUAAAAGAAAGAAAGAAAAUUGCAUGAAUUUUCCUUAGUUCUGCCUUAAAACCAUAACCUAGUAAAGAAAUAGGUAAGUAUUUAAUUGAAUUUAAGCUUAUUUAUUUUAAUUUGAAUAUUUGAGUAUUUAAAUUUUAAUACGAAAUAAUUAAAUAAGAUAUGAUUAAGAUUAUUGAAUAUAUUAAAUUUAGUAGUGAAAAUGUAAUUAAAAGUAAGCAAUGUGAGGGAUUAUGAAUUUUUAUGAAAGUAAAGAUUAAAUUAUAAAUAGUGAAAAUUUAUUUACUUGUCAUAAAUUGAUAACUGAAUAGAGGUAGUAUAGUGAAGUUACUAUAGAGAGGACUAAAUUGUAAAUUGUAUAAAAUAUGUUUAUGAAAUCAAUAUUGUGAUUGAAGACUUAAAUGAAGUGUUAUGUGAUAGUAAUGAAGUGUAAAGUGAUAAAAUAAUUAUUGAAUUUUCACGAAUUUAAAGACUAAAUUGUGAAAUGUUCAAAAAUUGUCAUGUGUGCUAAAGUAGCGAAAUAAAAAAUUUAAGUGUUAUGAGAAAGUAAACUACUUAAUGAUAAUUAAUUGAAAUCUAAAAUGCUAACUGUUGUGAAUAUCUUAUGUUUGUAUAUUUAUGAAUUGUGAAUAAAGUGAAUAUUUGAAAUAAAAAUGUAGUGAAUGUGUUUAUGUUAUUCAAAAUGAAUAAAUAAUAUGGUACAAAGUGAUAUAUCAAGUAGGUUAUAUGAAUAAAGGCAUUAGUGAACUUAAAAGAAAUAUGUUAUAUUAUAACGAAAUGAUUUUGGAGUUGAGAGGGAUUGAGGGUUCGAAUGAGAAUUGACUUGGUGAUAUGGGGGUUCGGAGGAGAUUGGGAGAGGAGUAUUGGGUUAUGUGAUGUGUUUAUUGGGGGUUUUUCUAUAUUUUUCUAGAGCUCCUAUUAUCAAAGUUCCGUUAUAGGUCGGAAGUCCAUGUUUGGCUUGAAUCUCUACAAUGUAUCGAAAUUAUUGAACUCUUCUGAUAUUCACUAAGGACUACAAAAGUGAUGUAUGAAAGUAAAAAUAUAUGUUUAUGUGUAAUAAUAUAUGAAGAUAAAGAUAAAGAUAAAAGUGAACAUGAGAAUUAAGCGUUAAAAAGAUACAUGUGAAUUAAAUGUUUAUGUUAUGUUAGUGAAAUGAGAGAAAGAUUUUGAUACGUGGAUGUGAAAGUUAAUUAGUGACAAUAUA
rnacentral:lncRNA from 1 species